rnacentral:lncRNA from 1 species
UAUCAGAUGUGGGAAAGAAAGGAAAAUGUGUCUGGAAAGUGGUUAAAGCUGCUAUAGUGUGCGAGUUAUGGAAAGAAAGGAAUAGACGUUGUUUUGAGAAUAUGAGUAAGUCAAUCGAUGAUUUACAAGAAAAAAUCAGAAUAAUUGUAGCAAAUUGGUUAGCUAUUAACAAGGUUUGGUGGGGAGUGCCUUGUAUAGAUCUGAUGUAUAAUCUGAAUAUAUUGUUGAGAGAAAGGAGCCUAAAAGAGAUCAGAGUUGGGAUUUGGAGAACACCAGAAGAAGGAUGCGUCAAAUUGAACUUCGAUGGAAGCUCAAUGGGAAAUCCAGGCCUGGCUGGGUUGGUGGGUCUCAUUCAUGAUUGCUCAGGGAAUGUGUUGUUAAAGUAUUUUGGUCCUGCUGGGAACAUCACGGCAAAUGAGGCGGAGUUGAGAUCAUUGCUUCAAGGUGUUAAAUUGGGUAAGCAAUUUAACAAACCAAUUAUAGUGGAAGGAGAUUCACUAAAUGUCAUUAAGUGGAUAAAUAGCUGAAUUCCCUUGGCUAAUACAUGCUUUAGUGAGGGAAGUGAAUGAGGAAUGUGGUGAUUUGAAUGUUAGAUUUGGCCAUUUUUUUUGUGAGUCUAAUAUGGAGGCCGUUCGUCUUGCUAAAGAGGGUGUUGCUUUGGCAAGUCUAAAUGUUGUUAUUUUGUAAUUGUUACUUCUUUUCCUGUUUAGUUUUAAUUUGAAUUAAAGGUUUGUAAUAACUGUUUGGGUCCUUGUUGGCCUAUGUAAACUGAUGAUUGAUGUUAUGAUGAAAUGAAUGGUUAAUGUUUCCCAAAAAAAACUCACUGUGAUUAUGUUCACUGUCUUCUAAUGGCAACCACUUUAAAAGGAAAUAUUCCACUUUCUGAGUUUUAUACAUACAUAUAUUUUUCCAGUGAUGUAAAUAUGUAGUCAAGGUUAUGCAAAAUGAUUCCAAUGUUAUAGAGGUCUGAAAAUUAAAUUUGGCAGGUCUCUUCAUCCUCGAGGUCUUGCAGAGACAUUGUGUGGUUCGCCUCUCUAUAUGGCACCAGAGAUUAUGCAGUUUCAGAAGUAUGAUGCAAAGGUGAGAGCUGCCAAAUUUAACGCAUUUGAAAAAGAAAGUAACUUAAAACAUUCUUUCUUCAAAGGAAAAAGUUUAUAUAAGGUUGCAAUCUUAAACUGUAGAAUUAAAUAUGUGCCUCAAAAAUCCAUCGGAGAGGAUUGUUUUAAUGUUGGAAAACCCUCUAAUUCAUCUCGACAUCGAGAUGUAAAAUAUGAAAAAAAUAAUAAUAUUUUAGUCCUAGAAAUAGUGCAUCUUGCAACACAUUAUCUAGGCCAUCCAUUUUGAAGAUUUUCAUAUGUUUAUAGAUCUACUUGAUUUUAACUAUUUUUGGAGUUUAAAUUUUUUUAAUUAGAUAUGAAAAUAGAUUUUGAGAUAAUCCUAAAAGUUUUUUACACCAAAAUUACAUGUUAUGAUAAAAUUUGGAGGUAUGCCUUAAUUGAAUUGUUUAAAGGUUGCAACCUUAUAGAAACCACACCCUUCUUCAAAUAGUAUUUACUUGCGUUGUUGGAUUAUGCAGGCAGACCUGUGGAGUGUUGGUGCUAUACUCUAUCAGCUUGUUACUGCCAAAACCCCAUUCUCUGGGAAUGAUCAGAUCCAGGUUUGGGUGCUCAUUGCAUUCUGCUAGUCCCUGAAAUUGUUGUAUGUCUGCAAGUAGUUUAGUAUGACGAAGUAUUUUAUUUCGUAUAAUUUUCUUUGAACUGACUUACCUUCUGGUUUUGACAUAGUUAUUGCAAAAUAUAAAGACAAGUGAAGUGCGGUUUCCUUCAGAUUUAAAGGAGUUGGGCCCAGAUUGCAUCGACUUGUGCCAAAAAUUGUUACGCCGUAACCCAGGCACGUUCUUAUGACUUCUGAUUAGGGGCAUUUUGCAUUUGUAUUAUGUUCAUACUUUCCCAGCCAUUUCCGGAGCAUAUUUCAUUGUAAAGUGUCGAUCGGGUCACAAUCUGCUUCUCUCAUGGUCAAAAAGAGUCUCUGCUGGCACAUACAACUAGUUAAUUAUUAACAGACACACAUCCGCGUGGGGUGCACACACACAAAGAAGACCUUCCUGACCUCCAUAUAUGUAGGGCUCGAAAAGAGAAAGAUUAGAUUUAAAAAGUUCUUAUGGGUCAACUUCAUACGGUGCUUCUCUCUUUUCGAACUCAUUAUGAGCCUUUCCUUUUUUGGGUGAUUUAUGGAAUGCAAUUCUUGAACUUUUACAACCUUUGUGUGCUUGUUAAUCUCUCACUCUUGUGAUUUGUUGUUUGCAGUGGAGCGAUUGACAUUUGAAGAGUUUUUCAACCACCCAUUUCUUUCUCACAAUCACUUGGAGGAGCCAAUGAGGUAACUAGAUUUAUAACAAAAUAUCACAAAAUCAGUGCAUUCUGCAUUUGUUUAUAUCUAUGGAAUAUUGAUACUCGCUUUGUAUUUUUCUCAUGGUCAGGACAGAGCACAAUUCAAGUGAUGGUUUCUCUUCCUCUCGAUGCAGUCCAGCAAGACAAGCCGAAGAGAGUUCUCAAGAGGACUGUUUACCUUUCCUCUUGGAUGAUGAUACCAAUGCACCUGGCAGCCCCCCAUUUACUUCUAGAAGAGCCUCAGUGCCUUGCACCUCUUCACGGUUGAAAACUGUACUUAACAAAAGAACUACUCCUAACACUUCCACUGGCUCUGAUGUCUAUUCUAGAGAGAGAAACAUCAAUUAUAAAGUGGAAAAUGAUACUUAUAGGCAAAUGCAAAACAAUAGAGCUUCAGGUCAGAUUCCUCAGGAACCCACUGCAGCCAUGGAGCAAAGGCAUUUGGAGGUUUCUCCAAAAGGUGUAGGAUUUGGCUUUUACCAUGAGAAUGUAUUUCAGGGUCCAAUGGUGUGUGGUUAAUUACUUCGAAGCUACAUCUACCAUCUACUCCCGUUGAUGGAUAUUGGAUUUGAAAGUUAAACCCAAGAAUCCAUCAGUAGAUUUAACAUUGGAGGACCAUAUGCCAUUGGGCUAUGCUUUACAAUUUCAGCUCUCUUUACUAUCUUGAAACUUUACCCAAAUCUUUUAAUGCUGAUUUUUUUUUGUCGAUUUGUAUGGGUUUUUCCAGUAGUGGAUUCAUUGGAGUUAAGUGAUCAGGAUUAUGUCUUUGUGUUGGGCCCAUCAAUGGAAGUUUCAUCGUCAUCAGGAAGUGCUUCUCGGCUUGGCCAUUCUCCUGUAAAAUCAAUGGGUUCUCCUAGAACAUUAGCAAGGACCACUAGUAUAAGUGCACCUAUGCCAAUCGUUGGUGCAACAGUGGGCAGGACUUGUGGAAUUGGAAGCCUUGAAAGCCAUAGCUCUGCUCUGUCAGGAGCUUCGCAAGGAUCAAUGGACAUGGGAGAUGUUUCAGAGCAGCCAUCAACUGAUUGCUUGACAAGGUUUAGGUCGUUGCAACAAUGUGCCCAUGCAAUAACAGAGUUGGUGCGUGACAAGGUAAAUUAUGACACAAAACCAGCAGUAUUAAUGUGAAAUGUAUGUAAUCAUUCUAUGCCUUCUCUCUUAUGUAUUAUGAAGCUUGUUAAUGAAUCAAAAGAUUUAAUAUGUCUUUUGUCUCUGGCUGGAAUUUCUAGAGUGUUCAUUUUAUUGGCAGGGAGGACAUUUCUAUCAUAUCUCAAAACCCCAAGCCCCAAAAUUCUCCUGUCUGCAUUUUCUGUAUCCUAAUUCAGUAGUAUUUACCAUGAACUGACAAAGUAACAAGAAUUAAUGAUUUUCUAUGCUAACAAUAACCAUAUUGGUCUGAAAUGUUUGAUUCCUUUUAUUUUUUAUUGUUAUUGUACUCAUUGACUUUUUUCUUUUUACAAUUAUUGGUCUCAAAAGAUUGAUGGGACGAAACAGUUGGAAGCUUUCUCUAUUCAGCUGGUAAACCUAGCAAUCUGGAAACAAGCGCUCCAUAUAUGCCAUACCCAGGCUGCAUCAGCCGUAGAAGGAAGUCCAUCUCAAGGGAGUAUAGCAAAGGGAGGUUUGGUUAACAAGCAGCAAAACCCUAACUCAGUGGAAGCCCCUGGAGGUGUUGAUUUUCUAGGGAUAGCAGCCAUUGGGUCUCAUACUGAAAGAGAAUUCCUCGUUGAAGUUGGGCGUGCUGAGGAGCUUGCUGGUUGUCUUGGGCCAAUAGAUGGUAUAUAUUUGAAACCUAUCCUGACCUCCUAGGCCCUAAACUGUGAAAACUGACGCCUCCAGUUGAAGAUAUCAUAUGUGUGUGUGUGAUGUGUGUGUGCAUGUAUGUUUAUGAGAGAGAGAGUGGUGGUUUGGGGUGGGGAAGAGGAGGUGGGUGGGGAGGGGGAGAUGGAACUUAAUGGCUUCUACAGUUCUGCAUCUGGUCAAUGAAUUGGCACAUUUCUUAAUAAAUUUCUCUUACCAAGAGAAAAAAAGUUCCUUAGGCUAUUGUUUAGGAUUUGAUUUAUUUUAUCCUUAUUUAUAUCACAGGAAGCACAGAGAUGCCAGAUCCAAUGGAGAUUAUAUUCCAAUCCGCCCUUGCAUUAGGCAGGACUGGCGCUGUGAGUAUAUAAUUUGACCAAAUUCCUUCUUGUUAGAAUUUCAACACAUGUUUCCAACGUUCUUGUUAUGCUAGUGAAAGAAAGUUCAUAGCUUUAAAAUUAACAUUUCCUUGAUACCGAUGCCAAUUUCCAACAAUCCCCACAAACUAAACCUUUGUUCUUGGUGAUAUUACCUCUCUCACAUGCCUCGAACUCUUUACGAGCUUUCUUUGAAGUGUGGAGAUUCUUUCCUUUUAACAAUUCUCGGGUGCUAGAUUUAUUACAAAUAUCUUUACAUGUUGGUUGAUGAAAUUCUUGUUAAGUGAGAAAGAAAGGAGGCUUUAAGAUUUGGCUAAGAAUUAAUUCCCAAGAAAAGAGAGAGAUCGAUGAGCUGAUAAAGGACAUAUUUUGAUAAAAUGCAGGUGGAUGAACUGAUGGGCGACAUAGACAGUGCAGUAUUGCUUUACUCGAAGGCAGUUCGCUUAUUGUUCUUUCUUUUGGUGGAAGCACCUUCUCUCAUACUCAACCCCCCCUUCUCUCUCACUAACUCGGAUCGCUUUCGGCUCCGCAGUUACAUUGAUAUCCUCAACAACAGGCAAAGCCAGUCUAGGUCUCAAAGGAUGGCCCUCCUUAAGUAUGAAGACCAACCCAGUCUUUGAAACAAAAUUCAUCUGUUUGCAUUUCUCAUUUCUCAUUGUAAAUCCAUUGAUUUGUACAGUAAUUCUUUGACCCCUGACAAUUGAUGACUGUUAAGGUAUAGCAUAAUUAAAUCACUCCCUCUUAUCUUGUGAAUUUUUAAAGCCAGGAAGGGAACUCUGCAGAUUCAAUUGUUUUAUGAGUCCAUUUGUAUUGGGCCUCCCUUAUGAAAGGCUUUUUGCUCUUUAAGGAUAUAUUAAGAGUACAUUUUCCUGUACUUUGGAUUCAGCGAUAUGCCCGAAUGGCUCUCUCAAAGAUUGUAAGACACUGUUCUGAAUGGCAUCACAGAUGAUAUCUUGGGCUUAUGCAUAGGAAUCGUACAUGUGGGAUAUGUGGAUACACAUGCUUUUGAGUGAGGGAGAGAGCCAAAAUUGAAGUUUUCUUUUGAGAUAUUGAAGUGAUUGCUUCUGAGGUUUGUGAAUUUGGAUGCUUUAUUAAGCUGCUUAGUAGUGCAGUUCAUGACUGCCAUUUCCCUGUAUGUGUUCCAUCACAUUUUCCGAAUAGUAUCCGUGUGAUUAACUUAGUUAAUCUAUUAAUGAAGUGCAUGUUUGUAGGUUAUGAGAAAUUAAAAGCCAACGAUUUCAUUCUCUGGAAGGGCAUGGUAUCCAUUUACUCCCUCGGGCAAAACCCAACCUAGGAGAACUUUUUGGGCAUUUACCCUCUUAAAACACUUUUGCUACAUUCAAUAGAAAAAGUCACCCGUUCAAUCCAUUUGCUAUAUACUCAAUAGAAAAUAUUUCAAAUUGCAAUAUCUAUGGGCUUGGAAAAAUUAAUGCUUCAACAUUGAUUAGAAAACUGUCCAAAUUUUUAGGGUCAUAUCUUAGUGUUAGAAAACUAAAAUAUUGAUUUUUUUUCAAUAUAAUCAUCUUGUGGUUUUUACAGCACUGAGUUUCAGAUUAAAAAAAAAACUUCCAAAGUAGUCUUCUGCCUUAAGGGAGUAACUAUACAGUAUGCUCCCACAUGAGCAUGGCUUACACGCUCUUAAAGAAUUAUUGGCCAUGAAACAGAUUGACCUGUUAGUUCAUAACAGGUCAAAUCUGUUUCUUCUCAUUCAUGUUUUUGGAUUUUUCUCGCCUCUUUCUGGGGUUAGUAAGAUGUGCUAUGACUUUGAGGUUCUUACAAUAUGCUAGGUCCUCUCCAAUUGUCCAUUGUUAGGCAUUGGACGGCUGCUGAGAAGUGUUUAAAAAUUUUAGAGUGCUGGAAAGACACUCCCCAACAAUCCUAUGUUGACCUUUGAUGGUGUAUGAAAUCCAAUUGCUUGCAUUUGAUACUUCUUGGAGUAUCUUUAGGACUACGGGCUUUUGGGAUGUAACUUGAACCUAGCUACCAACAUCAGGAGAAAAGAAAAUGUACGCACCGUAAGUGCAAGUAGUCCUAGGAUGGAUCAAAGAUCACCUAGUUUCGGAUGGUUAACUCGGAGUAAUUUUAUUUUAUUUUUCUCUUGAAAAUACUCAUAUGGUGGUUCUAACGUGCAUCUCUUAAAAGACAAAAAGUGCAUAUCCUUAGGGUUUGCAAUGGCCUAGGCCAGCCCCUAGUCCCCAAAGGGCUGGCCUAGGCUUGGCACAACCCCAACUGGUCCAAAGAGUCCAUUGCCUAGGCCUGGCAAAAUAAAAAAAUAAACUGGUCUUGCCCUGGGGUUGCAGUUGCCCAGCCUUGGCCCAGCCCUAGAACCACAUGUUAUGUCCCAGGCCCUUGUUUUUUAGGGUUAGGUUGAUCAGGCCAGGCCAGGCUAGGCUACCCGACCCAUUGCCACCCCUAAUUCUCCUCAGACAAAACUUGAACAAGUCGAAUGUUGACCUCCCCUAAUGGCUAAGCAAAGAUUAGCAGCUCAAGUUUUACCUAGCAAUCGUUCCUAAGUGUCCCGCACAUGAAUCUACCAGUGAGUCUUUACCUUGAUAUUCUUAGUAAGAGCCUCUGCUCAACCUGGAUUACAGAAAAGGGCCCAUAAGAACCCAUAAUCAGGGUUGUUAAAGAAUAUAUUGCUCAAUCUAGAUUGACAAAUCCCAUCUUCUCCAUUCCGAGCUUCCUUAUAAUUAUUCAUAAAAUACUUCAAUUCUUAAGGCUGUCAUGUCCAUGUCAGAAAUGUCCCUAAAUCUUCCACUAGAACAGCAAUCUGAAUCAUAUGGACGGCUUAGAUGUUCCUUCAUUAUUCUCCAGUUGUUAAGGUGCACACAUGCAUUCUAUUCGGCUGCUAAUUUCCAUUGUAAUAUGAUAUUUGAUAUUCCAAAUUUUUCUUUCGACUCCUUUGCCCUUUUUGAUUAAACAAUAUUAAAACCUACAGUGGGAAAAAACAAGGGCAUAUUUGAAGGAAAAUGGUUUGAUAGGGCUGCAGCCCUAUCAAAAUAAGUAGAGCCUCACCUAAUAGCUCAUCGAAAAUUGCAUUUCAAGUAGAAAAAAAACCUUUACAUUGAUCAUCUCAGCUUGAACAUUAUGAUUGUGAAAACAAAUUAAGAUUUCAAGCGCUAAAAAUAGUGCAUAUUGAAACAAAUUAUCUAGACCGUACAUUUUUCCCUAAAAGUAAGUGUCCAUAAAUCCGCAAGAUCCGUACCACUUUUUGAGUUUCAAAAUUUAUUGCCGGUGUUGGAAAUUUAUUUUAGAGUGAUCAUGGAGAUUUCCGCUGCCGAGAGUGCUUUCUAGACGUGGAUUUGACAUGCAGCUUUAUUUGUUUCCAUAAAGCCUAGGCCUUAUGAAAACUUCAUCCUAUUUUAAAGAGAACGAUAAUAAGCCAAGAAAACCAACCAAAACAUAUUGGAAACAUUAACUCUACAAGACAGCAAGACAAUCAGCACAAAGCUCAACCUACAAUACCACGCAUUGCCCCAAGCAAACCUCAUCCCUGUACCUGCACAGAAGAAUGCUUCAUUAGGACAAGAAAAAAGAAGAAGAACAAAAUCGAAACAUGAGGGAGAGAAAAGCAUAGAAAGACUCGCACAUUAAGACCCUCAAAGCAAUGUCUGGCGAAGUUGCUGAUUCUCUUUCCGAAGCGCCUGAAUUUCCUUCAUCAUCUCCUCUUGUUUUACUAGAACAGAGUUCAACAAGCUCGACAUUUCCAUCUGUUAAAAAGUAAACCAUUACAGAGAAUCCCCUAGUAAAACUAAAACAAAAGACAAGGUAGCAAAGAAACGUAAGUUAACGCUCGUAUCUCAUACCUCAUGCAUAUGGAACUGCCUCAGCAGCUCAAUAUGAAGGUUUCUGACAUCAUCAUGAAUCGACUUCUGAACAGAACUUAGGGUCUCCUCGAGAGUGCGCUGAACCAGCUGCAGAGCAAAAGAUGGAGUCCCGAGCUGUUGAUGUUCAUGCUGACCCAGACCCAGACCCUUCUGAGAAUGUGAUAAGGGUCCCUGUCAAAGUAUUUACCGAAAAGAAUUACAUAGAAAACUGCAUACAUCUCUCUCUCUCACAUGUGUGUGUGUGUAUAUAUAUAUAAGAUGCAUUUCUACAUUUGCAUCCCAUGAGGCAUAAACCAUCCAUCUCAAAGAUGGAUGUAAAUGGUGGUCCCUCCAAAAAAAAUUCAAACCAAUGGUCCAAAUAUUUCUUUCAAAAGUUAUUAUUUUUAGUUUCAAUUUAUUUACUUUACAUUUCAACGAUCUCCAUGUUAGAGUCUUAGAGAUUGUAUACUUCUUAAAAAUUUGGGCCAACAUCCAUUUCAAAAAUAGAUUACUAAGAGGUGUAUUUCUAUGUAUAUAAAUAUCGCGUAAAAAAUCAGUGCUCAAAAUCACCCGAGACCUGCAGACACAUCAGGGGCCACGUCUGUUUUUCUUUUUUGUUUUGGGGAGGGGGGCGUAGAAAAUAAAUCUUAGGGAUACUGAAAUGUAAUACCAAUAUGUCUUCUUUUAAAUGACUGUCAAUAACAACCAAUAUGCUGCAUAUAUCAACUAAAAUAUAUCAAAGCAAGGCUCACAUUGGCAACAGGAGGAAUUCCAGAGCUUGCAGGAGCCGAUGUAUCUGAUCUCAGAAGUGAGGCAUUCAUAAGCUCUUCCCUGGUUUCUACUCCUGUUUUCUUCAACUUGGGCGAGCCAGACACAAUAGCCGCCCCAUCACCAAAGGAUGCACGGUUACUUAUCCUCUCAGCAUAAGUCGUGUAUUUUCUUGCGAGGUUCACAGGUACUGAUCCCGGAACUUCAAGAUUAGAUGGUCCCUGCAUGCUUUUGAAUCCUAUUGAUGUAGAUAGAGUAGAAUUAAGAUUGGAAGAUGAGUCAGCAAGCAAGGAAGGGAUCUCAUGGCCAGUGAUGUCUUUGCCUUGAAGUUGAGGCGCACUUAGGCUUGUGCUUGAUAGAUAACUUGCACUAGUGAGGCCUACAGAUAUUGAUGAAUCAUGCAAGCCUCCUAAAACAGAACUAGGCACUGUUGCCCCAGAUGAUGAUUGACUGCUGGUCAUAAGACGAGAUGACAUGCCAAUUAGCUGACGAUGGCGAGUUAACUUAUCCGCCACUAUAUCGUCACCCCAAGCUUCAGGUGGAUUUGCAGAAAAGGACCGAUCGCUCCUUGACGAUGUCGAUGUCACAGGUGUGGAGCUUGCCAGUGAAGAGGUUUGAGAAUCAUCCUGCAUGGCAUAUAAACAUAAUAUGACUACAAUGAUGAUGAAAGACUAAAUGGAUUAGAAAGAGAAAAAGAACAUUGAUAGAGAUUUUAGAAGUGUAAUGAAAUCAAAAUCAUGCAUAAUUUUCCACGGAAGCUUUAGUUUAAAUAUAGAAUUCAUGAAAGAAACUUCAUGCAGCAUAAUAGGGGAAGUAAUCAAUGAAAGUACUUAAAUUUGAUCAUAUUUGUCAUGUUGUUCAUUAUUACUCCCUAGCAGUAUCCAUCUCAAAAGGCAAGCUUUCGGGUUCAUAUGCAAUAUUCUGUAUUCUCCAGGGGCGAUGUUGCACGUUCAUCCCUCUAGUUAUGUAUUAAGAAUUUCACAACAAAAUAAACAAAAAGGAAAUCACACCGGUACCUGUCUUGAACUUAACGUAGAUUUCCAAUCUGAGAUUGGAUGCGAAUCAGAAUUCCCAUCCUUCAAAUGAGGAAAUCUCCUUAUUGAUGAAGGAAACAGUAGUCCUGGCCUUUUAUCAACCAAAGUGUGAUCCUUUUUCAAAUCAUCAUGAUCAUCCCAAUUACCCAGUGACGGUGUAAUUGGUUGGACAUCCACUAAAGGAGAGAAGACUUCCAUAUCAUCUUUGAAAUUGUAACUAGAACGAGCAGCCUGUAACUUUGCUAGGGACCCUGUUGUUAGUAAAUGAUUUCGAGUUGGAGUUUCCUCUGGAGUGGAUAGGAAUGACGUGUUAGUUGGCAAACCAAUGCUCGUAGUUGUAAAAGAAGCAUCAGACAUGGACGGCACACGCCCAGAACUACGCAAACUAGAAACUACUGUAGAAGAAGGAGCUGAUGAUGUCAUUGAAGGAAGAGGAUCUGGCAUGAGGAUUGAGUCGUCCCCAGCACCUCCCAAAAGAGCAGCCUCAGUGGUACAAUUAUUUUCAUUUACAACAAUGGGUUUUGACCUUUGCCAGCAUAAACUUGUAACGGCCUGAAAUUAGAUAAAAACCAUCAGUGGAGAAAUAAAAUUCAUUUCAACUAAGAGCACAAAAGCAUAUCAUUCAUGCUGCCAAUUGUUUUGUACUCGAUAAGAAAAUAACCAUGAAAAAUACCAAAAACAUAUGAUGCUUCACUAACAGAUGAAAUAUGUUUCACCGCACCAGCCUGAAAUUCAUCAAUCAAAAUGUGCAAAAAUUAUGGUAAAAUCACGCAAAAACCACAUCCUUAUUCACAAAUAGCCCCCCUACUAUACACUUUGAGCAGCAUUCCACUAGAAGAAACAGCCAAGCUUCAUAAACAAGGAGUAUGAAGCAAUUCAUUUUAGCUACGACUAUACAUUUAAGAUCUAUUUUAUCCUUCCCAAAAAAUGACGAUUAUAUAAAAGACCAUCUCGUGAUCAAAUUAUUUCACCCUGUGAUCUUUGCAGUUCAAGAAGAAGGUUCUCACUGGCUUCUAUUGUCAAAACAAAAAACUAAUUGAUCUACAUUAAACCCAAUCAUUAUAUACCAGAAACAUACUCAACAUAACCAGAUGAAAAGCAAAUAUAGAGUUAGAGUUGCCCUGAAUAUAACUAGGGAAAGGCUUGGUGUAACUUGCUUGCACUUUCCUAUAAUGAAAGUUAUUAACAAUAUGAAAGUAACAAUAUAAGCAAACAAUCAACCUAUUACCAUUUGGAACAUAGAAAAAUGAGGAUAGAAGAUCUUCACCUCCGAAUUGCCAUAGGCACGUAGCACGGUGAAUGGCUGUGGUUUCCCACGAACAUCAUAAAAGACAACACGACCACUGUUGGUUCCAGCAGCCAGUAGCCAAUCUUCCUCUUUGAAUGCCAGUGAAGAGAAUGGCGCCUCAUAAGGAAUGCAAUAUGUUGCUCGCUUUGACCCUGUGUCGUAAGUAUAUAACUUUUUAUCCAGGCCAACACUGGCAAUUAUCUGCACAGUUAGAGAAGAAUAUUCUGCAGUUCACUACAGAGAUGAUUUGCUAUUACAUACCUCAAUCAACAUUAUGAGAUCCGACAAAUACCAAGUGUGACUCCAGAAAGCUCAAUGAUUUAUUUAAGAAAAGCUUAAAGCCAAAUUUCAUUUCUAAUAUCUAAUAAAUAAAUAAAUAAGAAAAUAAUGAAAAACCAAACAUAGGAAGAACCUUGUCAUUUUGGGGAGAGAAGCAAACACCAGCAAUUGGUGCAGAAUGCUGCUUCAGCCAGGAAAUCUGACACCACAUAACGUACAUAGAGAAACAAUUUCCAAUAUAAGCAACUCUUCAUGAUAAAAUGGUAAUAUCUCAAAUGCAAGUAAUAUACAUAUACACAAGGAAAUCUCAUGAAAAGAAGCAACUAAGAUUUCCAGGAAAAAACCUUAAAAACAAUAAAAAUAUAUGAAGGAAAUAAUCUUUUUUUUGUCACUUUUUUUAAUAUAUUAUGACAAUAUUGGUUUCUAAUUUCCUUAGCAAACAGUUAAAAAAGUUAAAUGUUAUAUAGCAAGGAAUGCCAAAACCUUGCAAAUCUAAUUUGUUGUUGCAUGACUCUGUUUUAAAAGGUUGUACCUACUCAAGCAAGCUAAGAUCCUGCCCAUACCAAGUAAGACAGGGUGGCUGUAAUUCUUGAAGCAAGAAAGAGACCAAGGCACUAUGAUAACUGCUAUAAGGUCUAAAUUCUAGAACAAAAUACAAGAUACAAAUCAAUCAGUAGUCAAAGGUAGGGAGAGAACAUGGUGUUUCAACCUUUAUUGGUUCUCAUAUGAUCAUAUCAAUGUAGACAAGUUUCUACUAGAAUACUCUGUAAUGUAUUGUUCAUAACAGUAUGAUCUACUAGUGAAAUGUGAAAGUUAUAAGGACAUCACGAUCUUCCAAUUUCAAAGUUCUCUUUACGAGAGUUAAUAAUUAGCUGCUUCACAAAUUUGCAUUAGUGCAUUAUUAUAACUGGAAGAUGAAUCCCUGUUCAAUUCACUGAAGAAGAUAAACUCCAAUUCUCGACAAAGUAAAAGUAAUGCACACAUUAAAAGUUUUCCCAGCACUGGAAAACCUCCUAUUGAUCAUCUCGACCUUAGGAUAUAUGAAUAUAAAGAAAAGAGAAUUUUAAAUCCUAAAAAUAGUGCACCUUGUAAAACAUUAUCUAUCGAUGUUCAAGAGCUUCAAGUGUUUAUAGAUCUGCUUGAUCGACACUAUUGUUGGACCUUGAAAUUUCAUAACUAGUAAUGGAAUAUAUUUUCAGGCCGUUAAAGGGGUGUCAAACACCGGAACUACAUUUUUUGACAAGAUUCGGAGGUGGCCAUAAUUUAAGGUUGACGCCUUGUAAAAACCAAGCCCAUUAUCAUCAUCCUUAAAGCCUUUUCUCACACCAUUUAGGAUCAGCUACAUGUAUCCUAGUCCACCAUUCUGCUCUAUAAAGGGCCAUACCCUUAGUGAGGCCAAUAGUCCCCAUAUCUUUUCUCACUACUUUCAACUAUGUCCUUUUGCGCCUACCCCUAGCCCUUUUUUAGCUUUCUACUUGAACCAACUCGCACCUCCUAACAAUUUCAUAGUGAUAUAAUGAAACAACUCCUUCAAAAAUUUAUGUUUGCAGUAUUUGUGUGACUACAGAUUUUGCAUGCACACUCAAUCUUAAAAAGAAAAACUUUGAAUUUGCAUCAUGGAAAUGGUCCAAAUGAGUCCUGCACUCCUGCUUCAACAAUGAACGUAGGCUGUCCAUUUGGUGGACAUAUUGAUAUAGCCAUUAAGAACUCAAAAAAUAUUUUCUUUUCUUUGUGAAAAUUGUUCAUCUAAUGAUGAUAAGGUGAUGAUGGCUUUUGGCAAAAUUUUAUGUUGGUUGCCUACCUAACACAACAAUGCCCCUUUACGCGAGCAUGGGAUGAGUUAAGGGAAAGUUUAAGGUCAUCACCCUUCUUAGAUGACCCCCAAGGUCGGAUAUGAAAUUUAGGGGUCAAAAAAAAAAACUAGAGCCGAGAUCUUACCAUCACAUCAAAUAGAUGGCCUAGGUUCAUUUUGUGUUCAAAAAGUUUACUUUAAAGGGUGCCUUUUUGAAAAUUCUGUUCUUUGAAAUCAAUCUUUGGAUGAACAGAGUAUUUGGGCAGAAUUUGAGACCAUACAAAUGCUCCUAAAAUGGUUUUUGAAGAAGCUGUUUCAUUAGCUAUGAUACUACAAAACUGUUUCAUGAAAUCCCUUUCCAUAUAUGUAUGCAUUAAUACAUUUACUAGCACAAUACAUGCAUAUUUUUAAGAGAGCGAGGGAUCAAAUGAAAAAGAAUAAAAUAUGGGACCCAAGCAUCGUCAUAAUUAAUUAUAGGAAGAGUGUUUGGAGAGUCGGCUGACUCACUAUUCUUCUGCAGUCCCCUGCAAAAUAUAUCUCAAAGAUGUAUUUUUGAUCCACAAUUUUAGAGUUCAAUAAUCUCAACCAUGACAAUGAUCUAAAUUUGGAAUUUUGUCUUUCAAAAAAUAUAAAUGUUAUUUUUGAAUUCCUUUUUUCACCAUCCAUUUUAACUUCUAGUGGUUGUAACAUUUUUUAAGGUCCAUCUUAGAGAUGGACGUUAGAUAGACAAGGGACCGCACAGUAAUAGGUGAGUUGGCUGACUCACCAAAACCGUGUCCUUAAUUAUAUUGCUGAUAGUUGCACCUGACGUCCAAAGUUCAAAUUUCACUGAUCAAGAUUCAUAAUACAGGCAUAAAGGCAUCUAGCAGGGGAGGCGUGAAAUCAUAUAAUACAGUAGUGGCCUAUUUCCUUCUCCUGCCCUAAACUUUCACUCUUAGUUUUAAAAAGGAAAUAAUGCCUUAGCAGGAUUUGUAGAUCUCCUACCCUAAACUCUAACUCCUAAUAAGUCAACCUUGAAGUUGAUCUAGAGUUUUGAUGCCUAGACUCUCUCUAUUAUUAAAUCCCCCUUAUAGUCCUAAGCCAUGUGUCCUACAUUAAAUUUGGCUUAUAAGUACCUUUAUAUAAGAUCAAUAUUUUGUGGUAGGGGGGCCUACAGAAGAGUCGUGAGCCUGACAGCCCAAAUUAAACUAUUUGACGGCCAACAUUCACCGGCAGGCGCAGGGCCACAGGGGCAUCCUGGUCAACAUUUUUUGGCGCAUAUAUUUUUUAUAUAUAUCUUGGCACACCUAGGUCAGACCCAUCUCUUCCCAAAAUUUCAAGUCAAAAGGAUUUUGUAGAAAAACUAAAAAUAAAACAGUGUGCAUUGUGCACACAUGUCAGCCAUCUAGAUCUUAGAGAAUAAAUUUGGAUUGUCUUGCCUCUCUUGUUCCAUAGGUGGGGCGCUCGCAUAGAUAUUUCCCACGUACACACAUAUAUUACAAAAACAAAGCUACGGCACGUAAGAAAAGAUGUUAAAUAUUUAUUAUUUUAAGCCCUUUGGAAACUAUAAAUGCACUUUCAUUAUCUUCUAAUAUUUGGACUGAUUAUAUUCAUUUUCAUAGAAUGAGCAUAGUUGAGAUGAGGAUGUUGAAAUGGAUGAGCGGCAAGACAAAGAGGAAUCGCAUUUGAAAUGAAUUCAUUUGAGGGAACUUAGGAGCAGCUUCAAUAGGCGAUAAAAUGAGGAAAAGUAGACUUAGGUGAUCUGUUCAUGUACAAUAUCGACUUAGAAUAACAUCGGUUAAGAUUUAAGUGGAAAGCUCUAAAAGAGCAAGGGGAAGACUCUAACUGACAUGGAUAGAAGUAGUGGGAAAAGAUAUAGUGAUUUUGGACAUGUUUGGUACGCGUAAGUAUUUUCACGUAAAAGAUUCCCUCAUGUGAUUUGGUGUGAGAGUUUUUUCACACCAAUCAGUGCCAAGGCAUUUUGGAACACCAGUUAGCAUCCAAUAGAUGCGAAAAAAUUCCCAAACCUAAUUACAAAGGGAAUUUUUUUACAUGAAAAUACUUUCACAUAUACCAAACGUGCCCUUAUUGUCUGCCUGAAGGUAUGACCCUUGAUAGAAUGGAAUGACGAAAUAGGAUUCAUGCACCCAACCCCAAAUAGUUGGAAUAAAACUCAAAAUGACGAAAUAGGAUUCGUGUACGCAACCCAAAUAGUUGGGAUAAAGCUCAGAUAAUGAUAAUAAUGAUGUUCCUUUACAUAAGAUACAUAAUUGAACAAUGUGGUCAAGAUAAAUGCAUUGAACAAAAUUAAAAUAGUAAAAAACAAAUUUAAAAUACAAAUAAAAAAUGGUUAAAAAAAGAGAGUUAAGAUUGUUCCCUUUUUGGCUAUGUGACCAAAUGUCAUAACAAGAGACCUAAUAAGACCCAGACGAGUUAAAAAGUCAUCCUUGCUCUGUCUCAAUGUGAUCCAACCAAUAUACUUUCUGGUCCAAGCAAUAAAAUAUCUCAAAAUGGUAUAGUUUCGUGAAGUACUCUGUAUGAUAAAAAGAGUCCACCAUCAAAUGGGUGAAAGGUCAAGGUUCCUACAAUAACUUCAUUAUUUGAUGAGCUCUAGACAUAACCAUAAGUAAUAUUCUAUGACAUUUAUGAGAAAUUAGUCUUUGAUAUCAAACCCAAAGAAUGUGUCAAUCUUAGUCAUAUUACUGAAUGUAAUGCAGUUGGAUCCACAUCAACAAGAUGAAAUGAAUCUUUUCAUCUAGUCAGGUUGCAAUUCCUCGCAGCUCUGUGUAACACUUGGCACUUUGUUAUCUUAGCACUUUGUUAUCCAUCAGUAAACUUUAAAAGAAUGCCAGUCACCAGCAAACAUAAAAGACUAACAUGAUUUUGGCAAUUUUUGGACCAAGGUUAGAUGCUCUAAGCGAGUCAAGGUAUAUAACUCAUGAACAAUGGCAUAUAAAAAAAAUGCAGAUGUUUCUUUGAUAGCAUUUGAAAGGACAUGGUAGAGCACACCUUUGGACUACGCCCAGUAGUAUCCCACAAAUGUACAGACCCAUCAUCACCAGCUGUGACCAAAACAUGCCUGCUAGUUCGAGAAUAAUCAAGCACUCUCAAUACCUGACAUUGAGGAGUUCUAGAAUCAUAAACUCGAGAGUUUCAAUACCAAAGAAACAACUACUAAUUUUAUAGAUACAGUAAAAUGCAGUAAUGAAAGAAACCGAUUCCACAUCAGAACAACCUGUUGAUUUGGAUCUUUGAGCUCUGCAGCCUGGGCACCAGAUGCAAGGUUGUGAAGAAUGAGAUCCCCCUUUAAACUAAUGGAUGCCAAAUGUUCAUCUUUGCAAUUGUACAUAACACCAGUAAUUGUAUCAGUGUGACCCUUCAACCAUUUUAUGCACCGCUUCCUUUGCAAAUCCCAAAUCCGCACCACUUGACCAGUGCCCCCAGAACAAAGAUACCUGGAACCUUUAUUGCUAAAGCUGAUAGCCAAAAUAGACUCCUGGAUGGACAAAGAAGAGUGUCUAAAUGAAAUAUACUUCAAAUGUAUGCUAAACUAAAGAUGGAUGCAUUGAUGUGGGUUGAGCACAGCAGCUGAUCAAUGCCCAAAAACUCCAUGCAGUGCAUUCAAAGGAAAUAGCAAUGGGGUUCUUAAGAAUGGAUGUCACAAUAAUGCCUCACUUUGGAAUUAUUCACAUGACAAGCAAUGCCCUACAAGUUAUGCAUACUCCAGAAUUCAAAAAGUUUUAAAACAAUUUUUUACUAGUGUUUCGUAAGGCAGUACAAUUCUGUAUCAUAAUUAUAGGAAUCAAUAUGGUCUGCAUUCAAGUCUUGCUCAGUGAUUACAUCUUUCAACCGAUCAUUAGUGUAUUUUAGCAACUAUAGGAGCUCUAAAAAUUCCUCAAGAUAGCAUAGGAUACAUUUGAGAAGAAUGAGAAUCACACAUUCUCCAUUCUGAUGCAGAAAGACAUUACUUCACAAAAACCAACGACUAUGACAAAUUAUGUGAAAGCCACACGAGCUCCCAGAACUAGAAACAUUCUCCAGGAAACAUCAAGCAACUCACAAGCAACAGCUUCGAGUUUUCAACAUUUUUGCAGGACCAUCAUGCUUCAAUUUUAAUCAGUAUUUAUCAAGUUCCCUUCUUCCUUCUUUUCUCUCCAAUAGUAGUCAUGUUGUCCCUUGUACAGAAUAAAUAGUGUUACAUUACUGUAUGCACUCAAAUAAUUCAGAUAAACCAAGCAGUUGACUCAGACAAAUUCACUAGGUGUUGGGGCCUUGGGAUUCAGUAGGUUUAGGGCCUCAAGUAAAUUCUUAAAAUGACGACUUAUAACACACUGAAAUCAAAUUUAAAGAAAAGAUCAACCCAGUUUUUAAAAGUAAAGUGAAACAUGCAUACAGUGAAAAGCGAUGCAGUCAGACGAUGGUGACCAUCUAUUAUUCCAGUAAACCUAACCUAUAAUAGAUUUAUUUUUUGAUAAGCUUUGAACUGUCCUGUCAGAUAAAUAUUUUUUAAAGCUAGGGAUGCAGAAACAGAGCAGAGUUGAGACAAGUAUCCCCACAACCCAUAAAUAUAGCACCCAAAAGCAAGGAAAAGACAAAUAAAUUCACCAUUUUAAUUUGACAAACAAAACUUACUCUCAAAAAAAAACUUGACAAACAAAACUUACAUCAAUUUUAUCACCUACAUCAGUGCCAGAUGGCGGCACUGUCCCCAAACUCUGUCCAUUCUUCUGCCACAAAGAGAUUUUCUUGUCAUCUCCAGCACUGGCAACAACUAAAUCUGUGUAAUGACAUCAAUUAAUUAUUGAUACGAAACAACCAUCUUUCCUACAGUUGCAUGCAAAUGAUUGAGAAGUUAAUUAUUGAAAGAACAAAUCUAUAUGCAUCAAUUGAUAUAGAGAAAAAAACGCACAAAACAACUAGAACUGUAAAGUAUAUUUACCUAAGUGACCUGAAACAAAGAGACCAACAACAAUUGAUAUUGCAAUUUCUAUGGGAUUCAAUUAGGUGAAAUGAAUAUAAUGAAAGACAUCAAAUAGAUUUGUCAGUAGUUAAACAUGAUACAAACAUGGUCAUCAUCAUAGAUGUCAUUUCUUUGUCACUGCAUUCACAGAAGCAGGGGUGACCACUAUGCAAAUCUUGUGACCUGUAUAUGGAUUAUGGACACGGCAAUGCUCCUUGUGUGUCCUUUCAGUCCAUUGUAUGCAACUUACAGAAAAAAAUGUUCUUUGCGUACAUUGAUACAAAUGCGCGUUUUGAAGGUUAAAAAAAAGAAAAGAAGAGGUAGUUAUGAAAAGGUAAUCCCUCUUCUGAUUCAAGAAGAUGUCAAUUUUAAAAAAACUAUGAAUAAAUCAAAUGCAGGGAAUAUCUCUUUUUAUUAUUAUUCUUUCCUAGCGUUUGCGAGCAACACCACCAUAAUCAGAAUGAAAAGAAAUAAAGUGGAGCCUAAAACUCAGCCACUUCUAAACACAGAAACCUAUCAAAAAAUGUACCAAGCUUCAAUAGUUCCACUUCCUCCUCAAAAAGUUAAUGGCAAUAGAAAGCUUAAAACGUGUGCACAUCAAAAUGGAAGAUCAAAUAUCAUAGAAUGCUUCGAAAGGAAAUGAAUCAUCAAAAUAACCAAGAAACAACAUAAUAAAAUCAGAAAACUCCGAAAAGAAAGAUUGUCCACGGAUAAUGCAACACUAAAAGAACAUCAAGGAGUGCAGAACAAAUAUAUGUGUUAUAUAAGAUGAAAAAAUGAAAAAUUAAGAAUUUUCAGGAGAAACCAGAACAAAGGGGGGGGCUUGUUGAAAUGAUUAAUGGGUAAGAAAAACUAUUAUAAGAAUUGAAGAGGAGACUUACUGGUGUGAUUCCAUUUGGCUGAGUUAACCUGGAAACCAGGAGAAGGCGAGUAAUGGAGGGUGCAGGGGUCUCCAGGCUCUGUUGAGACGUUGAAUAGCUUUACUGUGUCACCACCACACGCUGCCAGGAGCGAUUGGCCACCUGCCAUAGCCUGAUCUUUCUAGAGAGAGAAGUAGAGAAAGUGAAAGAGGAACAAUGCCUUCAAAUUUUAGAGAGAGGAACUUGAAAGGCCUGGAGUUAAGCGAUGCUGCGUUAGAGAACAGAGAUGUGAGAGACUCUUUAGAGCGAGAGAAACGUUAGAGAGAGACAACUCUCUCGCCUUCCUAGAGAGAGAGAGAGAGAGCGAGAGCGAGAGCGAGAGCGAGGGAGAAAGUUAGAGAGAGAAAAUGCUUUCUUUUCACUUUGCCCCCGUUCUCAUUUUUUUAAAUUUUUUUAGGGUGAAGGUCGAAAAUGCCACAGAGAAAUUACGAAACUACUCCUCCGAAAUGCGCUGGGACCUUGCGGCUUUAUGAAGAUUGAAGAGUGUGCGCUGCCGUAAUAAUUGGUGAUUUGAACUUGCACUACAUAAAAAACAGUUGAUGGGACUCACUUUGAAAUCUGUAAUGACAACGGCGUUCCCGUAUAUUUUUUUUUUUUUUUGAAAAAUGGUUUGAGAGGACGAUAAAAUAAAGCCUCACUUCAAACUCAUCAAAAACUGUAAUUAGAGUUGGAAAACCGUUACAUCGAUCGUCUCAACUUAAACACAAUGGUUGAAAAAAAUUAAGAUUUCAAACUCUAAAGCUAAUGUAAUAUUUUAACAAAUUGUCCAUACCGUCUAUUUCGCCUAAAAAUAAAUAUUUAAGGAUAUGUCAGAUGUGUAUGAUAUUUUAGUUUCAAAAUUUAUUGCUGAUGUUGAAAAUUGAUUUUAGAGUCAUUAUAGAAAUUUCGGUUGUCUAUAAAUAAACCAUUUAAGAAAAGGGAAAAAUAGGGUUACAAAAAUUUUCGAGAUGAAAUGAUAUAAAAAAUUUUAUUGGAAUAAAUUUUUAUGGUCAAAAGUCAAUAAAAGACGGAAAAAUAAGAGAUGAGUGGUAUGGUAAAAUCGUUAAAAAUUUCUUUAUGUUGUUUUGAAAGAAAACGGAAAAAGAGUCUUCCAUGAAAUAAUAUGAAGAAUUAAGGUUCUAUAUGAAAUUUUUCUUUUAUAUUUUAUACAUGAAGAUCGCAAUCAUUCAUAUUAUUUAAAUGUUAAAUUGGAUGGUUUCGAGUGACUCAUCAAAUCCCAAAAAAAUAUUUUAGAAUUUUGUUUCUAUUUAAUGACACUCUUACAACCACCUAUUUUAAAAUUUAAAGGACAACCAUGAUGGUUACCUCUUUAUAUACCAAGAGACCAUUUAUCUUUGAGAAAAGUUUAUAUAAAGCCGAGGCUUUAAACAAUCAAAUUUGAGCCUACAUCAAAAUUUCACUAGAAAAGGUUGUUUUGAUGCCCAAAUAUCUUCAAAUCGAUCAUUUCGACAUCAAUAUGCACGGACAUGAGAAAAAAAUGAAUUUCAAGUUUUGAAAAUAAUAUAUUUUGUAACACAUUUUUGGAUCAUCAAUUUUGAAAAUUUUCAAGUUUUUGUAGAUUUGUCGAUCUGUAUUAUGUUUGAAGCUUCAAACUUUAUAAAUAAAUAUAAAUAUAUUUUUUAAGACUAUUACAAAGAUUUUGAAUAUUAAAACCACAUUUAUUAGACAUUAUUUGAAGAUAGGCUCCAUUUGAUUGUUUAGAGCCCAAGCUCAAUACAAACUGCACCCCAUUUUUGUACAUAGGUUUUCUACAAAGACAUCGACUUAAGAGACAAUUUUUUUAUUAACAUUUAUGAAUCCUCCCCACACCCCACCCCCCCCCAACUGAAUUACCCAAAAAUAUAAUAAUAAUUAUUUAAGAAUUAGUGGCAUUCUGGUCAUUUUCUUUCUCCCUUCAAACAAUUUCCCUCGAGAGGGGAAGGGGGGAGAGAGGAAGAAACUGAUUGAUCGUUCUUCUGCUCCUCGUCGGCCAUGGAAGCUCAUCACGCAUCGCUGGGCCGACGAACGGUAUCAAUUUCAGUUCAAAACUAUCUACUGUAUCAAAUUUUACUCCCUCUCCGUCUCUCUCUAAAAAUAAUUUACGUUUAUUGUUUUUGUGAUCUGGUCUUUGAAGUUGGAGGAAAUUCGGCAAAAAAGAUUAGCGGAUAAACUGAGCAAAGCAUCGUCCAUGGAUGAUUUUCAAGCCUCAAAUCAAUCUGGUGAGCAUUAAGUAACAUGAUUCUCUCAUAUUGUUUAUUUUAUGGAGGUAAUUGUUUUUUGGUAAAUAUCCUGGUAACUCUUUGGAAUAGAGCUCUAUUGAUUUCUUCAUUUUUUUUUGUUUUAUUUUCUUCCAGGAAUUUAUAGAUCUGAUUCUGGAAACCAAGGGAUUCAGUUUACAGAGGCAAGUUUCGCCAAUGUCUCCAUUGCUUUGGGUUUUGAAUUUUUCAAAAUUUUCCUUUUUUGAUAUUCUAUUUAUUGAGAGAGAGAGAGAGAGAGAGAGAGAGAGAGAGAGAGAGAGAGAGAGAGAGAGAGAGAGAGAGCGUGUUGUUAGUUCGUUCGUAGUGUACGUAGUAAGUGUCGCUACUUACGUUAGUAGUCGUACGACGUACGUAACGUAACGUACGUAAUAAGUAAGUAANNNNNNNNNNNNNNNNNNNNAGAGAGAGAGAGAGAGGCGCUUGUUAGUUGUUUCCAUGGCUGAAAUGUGCAUCCUUAGAUGUCAGCAGUAAACUCGAUAUAGAAUCAAUUCAACUCAAUGAUAAUUUCAUGCUCUUGUUUUUCCAAUAGCUUGCAUACCCUUCAUUUCCAGACCAAAUUCAUCCCUUGUUUUGUAUGAUACUAUAAUUACCAUAAUCCUCAUCAAUCUUAUUCUUGGUUCACAAGUUAAUUUCUCUUGAUUCAAUGAACUUGAUUAUCACUUCUUUCUUUAUCACACUAAAUUGUAAUUUGCCAAUCAAAUAGUUUAAGGUUGAAAAAACAUAUUUUUUUUCUUUUUUCUCAUAUUGAAGAUGUUGCUGCAAAUUUAUUCAGUGAUUGACUUUCUCCUUGUUUUAUGUGUUGUUUAACCCUUGCAAGUACAUGAAAUCCAUAACCAGGGUCUGAAAAAUCACCAUUCACCAGAAUUCAUGAAAAAUAACGGGGCUUAGUUUUGAAAGCUGCCCAAUCCAACUAUUGGAUUGAUUCAUGCUUUCUUUACGAGUUGCUUCAUUGCCGUGAUCAAUGAUUAAAAUUCAUUAGAACAUGUGUGCAUUGUGAGGAAAUUCACUACAAAUUACAAAGCGUAAGUUAGUAGGCUGAAUGUUAGGGUUAUUUAAGUAAGUUGCAGGAGGAUGGAUUGUUGGACCAGAAAUGUUUCUUUCUGUUUGAAUUAUUGGGUAUAUUUGUCCAAUGGGUAGCACAAUAAUUAUUGGAGUUUAAAAAUAUAUAUGAUAUUAUAUGAGGAUUCUCAUUUACUGAGCAAUAUAUGGUCACAAGUUUUCUUGUUUGUACAAGGAAGGAAUCUCUGUGUAAAUAUGUAGUUCAGUAUCUGAGAGACUUCUUUUUUACUUAGAUAUGUUUAGAAAUUGGGUGAGGUGUGGAUAGGGUUUUGAUUUGAGACAUAUGGUUCCUCCUUUCUUUUAGGAGUGUUAUUGGGUGUCAAUGCUUUCUAGGAUCCUCUUGGUGUGUCUCAUUUUUGGGUGGAGAAGUCAUUUGGUUUUGUUAAACUAGCCCCUUUUUCUUUUGAUAAUUGAUUGUGUUUCAUCAGUUCUGUAAGAAUGAAUAUUUGUGGAAAACUAAAUUAGUCUUGUCUCAUUCUUCCGGUAAACUAAGGCACGUGUUAUUAUUUGGUACAUUCAAGAAAAUGUUGUGCCCCGUUGGUCUUUGUUUAGCAGGUAUAUCUGUUCUCUUGACAAUAUGUGUGUGCUGAUUUUUCUUCAUUGAGUAUAAAAGAUUUUGAGAUGAUCAAGGAAUUGGUUAUUGAUAUUUAACGUAGGACAUUUUUCUUUCACCCCAUGCACUUCAUUAUAUACAGCGUCAAUCAAUUUAUCCCGUACAGAUAGAGAGAAAAAGAAAUAGGGAAUACAAUACUAAUGAAGAUGGUUUAUAUUGGAGAUUGUGGUGUGUCUCGUUACUGCAGGACUACGACGGUUUAUUACCUAAAGUUAAAUAUUUUGAGAGAAAGGUUGCUGAGAUGGAAGAUGAAAAUGAAAAAUUGGUUUCACAGGUAAUCAGUAGCUUUUGAAAUUUCAUGGUUGAACCGACUAUGGAACUUGGAACAUGCUUGAUGAUAAAUUUGAAGUUUGUUAUCCUGGAAAUGAAGUCAUUUGUUCUGAGAUUUUACCCGGAAUUUUCAGCUUGAGAUGAGGGAUAUAGAGCGGGAUAGGUUACAAGAACACAUCGACAAUUUGGUAUAUGGCUUGACCUGCACCUAUUUAUUUAUACAAACUUACAUAUACCUGCUUGUCCAUUUAUAACUUUCCUCAUGAUUUGACGACAGGAACAAAAUGAAAUACCAUUACUGAGAAAAGCUCUUAAUGAUGUCUCUGUGGAAAAGGAUGCUGUGGCUGUAGGACGGGUAUAUACUGUGAAAACUGCUAUUAGAUAAUUCCCUUAAUUGUGAAAAUGAAAUAGUUUUGGACAUAUUUACUUGUUUCAUAUCAAAUGAUGUUUUUGUAUAGGAAGAUCUGUUAGCUCAACUUCGAACACUUAAGAGGCGUGUAAGAGAGGCAGAAGAGGAGCAGUAUAGAGUAUGAACUAUGAAGCUGAUUGCUUGCUACCAAUAAAUUGAUAGUUCUAUCUCUUGCAAAAGUAUAUAUAGUCCAACCAGUGUUUCAAAAGCGCUAGGCGGCACCUAGGCGGUCGGGGGGGUCCAAGCCACCCAGCGCCUAGGUGGGCGACCAGAACCUGGGCGGCCCAGUAAAUUUUUUUUUUUUGGGUUUUUCUCACUAAAAUAGCCUCUAAUGGGUUUUAGGUUCAUUUGAAACAUAAAACCCACAAUUUUGCACCUUUAGUAUUAAAAAAAACACCCCAAAUGGACCCAAAAAUAGCCUCAACGAGCGGCAUUUCUGUCCCUGGGCAGGGCGCAGGCCCUGGGAAGCCGCCUAGGCGGGUUCCCGGGUGCCUAGGCAGGCGCUCGAGGAUACCCGCCUAAUUUGGCCGCCUGGGCCUAGGCGAUGCGCCCAGGCCUUCUGGACCGCCUAUGCGGCCUUCCAGGAGUUGGGCGGUCCGCUUUUUGAAACACUGAGUCCAACGGACCAUGGAAAACAUAGGCCUUUGGGUCAUUGCCAUCUAUGGACAUGAUGUUGGUGAUGGAUAGAGAAUAGUACACACCAGCAUAGGAAAUGACCCAACUCUCAGUUCCACUCCCUCUCAAUAGACAGCAAUGACCUAAUGCACUAGGUUGUUUCCAUAGUCCAUUGGAUUAUCUUAUAUUAUUUUUUGCUUUCCCUUUACUCUGAAAGUAGCAAAAUGCUUGAUUCUGGAUCCAAUUUCAAUAGGCUGAAGAAGAUGCUGCAUCCUUGAGAGCAGAGUUAAACUUACUACAGCAACAAGGUGAGAGGCAUUUUGAUAGUAGCCUCCCCUCUAUUGUGACCAUGAGGGACCAAAUACAAGCCAUGGAACAGGAAAUGGCCAAACUGAGAUUACAGUUGCAGGUGGAAGUUGUGUAAUAGAUUUUCUUCUAAUAGAUUUUCUUCUAUUUCUUGAGUCAUAUGCUUUUUGCUUAGCUUAUGGUGUAAUUGGUCAACUAUGUAGCAAGAGUCACUCCUGAGACAACAAGAGCAGCAGAGACUGGCUGAGGAACAAGUUCAAAAGUCAGCACUUAUGGCUGAAAGGCAAGGUCUAGAAGAAAAAAUAUCAACUUUAACAAAUAAGGCUUCAGGUUAGUAUCUUGAUUUGUGAAAAACUUAGGUGGUGCCUCUAUAUUUAUAAAGCUAUUUUCAACAAACCACAUUCCCACUUUGCACAAGAGAAUGAAAUACGUCCUUUUUUUUCUUUUUAACAAGAGCUUAUGCUUUUUGUUGUUAUGAGCUGUUGUUAUGGUUUGCCUCUAAAAGAAGAGAAACUUAGCACUGAUUGCUAACAUAGCUCAUUAAGACUAGCCAUAGAGAGCUUAGAGUUUCAUUCUGCAUGCUGUUGUUGGCCACUGCUGGUUCAUUGACUCCAUACUCAUAUUAGGAUAUAUGUCACUUUAACCCAUGCCUAUUUUGGUGAUGCAGAAGACGUAGAAGAACCUGCUCGAAAACCAUUUUCACUGGUAAUAUGCAAGACUCUAGUUUCAGACUAAUUCUUUGUCAGAAAAUGACCGUUGUGUUCAUUCUAUAAUUAACUAUAGUAUUUAAGCAGUACAUCCUACUAGUGCCAGUAUAAAUUUGAUUGCAGUAAUAACUUUAUAGUUUUAGUGUUAUUUCUUUUCUUGUCAGUGCUGUUCUAACAUUUUACUUGCUAGGGAAUAUAAAGUCCUUUGCCCCUUAUAUAACAUCAUUAUUUUGAUCCGGAUACCCAGGCUUGAGCUUCCCUCACCAUUUUGGGGUAUGUUGAUGCUACAUAGAUAAUAAUCAUUUUAGCCAUUUGCUGCUUUGUGGGAGAGUUAUAACUCUGGCUUCUACUCACUAUAUGCAGUAUGUGCACCAACUUGUCCAAGAACUACAGUAGAAUUAAGUCUACGAGCAAUGAGAGAUUUCGGGUUCUUUUACCAGCGCUCCGAUAAGUUUUCCACUGUUCCACCGAACCUUUAUGCUUUCACUUAUGACAUGUAUCUGUAGUAUAUAAAGCGUGAGUUCCCUUCGGAUCGGACGAAUAAGUCUUGGGAGGUUCGUAAGUAGGCUCAGCAAUAGGUUGAGCGACGUUUUUUUAUUCAAUGAAUAUCUUAUGAUCCCUUAGGUAUUAAAUGAGUUUCCUUAUACAUAUCACUCUCUCUCAUAUUUUUGUGGUCCAUUGGAUAUAAUUUCUCUCUAGUAAACUUAAAUGAUACAAGGAUAUGGCAUGAGGCAACAACAAUGUUAGUUUUAUGAAGCUGAAUGAUAUUUUAUUUUCUUUUAUUGCCUCUUCUUGCAAAAUGACAGUUUAAUCCCAAAUUGUUAGGUAAUAGAUGGAUAUGCCUUUUUUUUGGGUGGUGAGGGGUAGUUCAGUGGUAGGAAUCAAACUUGAGAUAUAGCGCUGCUAAACAUCAGCUGCUAACCACUCAAGCCCAAACCCAAUUUCUAAUCGACAGAUAUGCCUUAUCCUUCAUAUUAUGGUCCUGGAUGCUACUUGGGACAAAUUUGGACUCUUUAGGGGCAUUAUGGGUAGUCCUGCUCAUAUGCCCUUAUAUUAUGGGCUAGUUAUUUAUGACUUUGUUCUUGGGUUCCGAAACUGACAAAAAUGCCUGAGGUCUUUUGGGCAUCCAAGGCUUGAUUUGGGAUCUUUAGGAUAAGUAUAAUAGACAUUUUGUAUAGAGAGGGGUAGUUUAGGGGUUAAUAGCAAGGGGAUCUGUCUUUUGACAGAAAUCCAGUUCGGGCUUGUUUGUCGGAUAAAAGGGGUUAAAAGUAGCAGUCCUCCCAGUUGGUGCUUGUUUGUCAGAUUGUCUGUACAAAAGUUUUUAUGUAAAUCAUGCAUUAAGAAAAUGUUUCUCCAUAAGACUAGAGGUAAAGAGAAAAGAAGCAAUCAUAAAAUUUCCAUGACACACAAUAGUUAUACCUCUAUUUGGGAAUAUGUAUGAGACGUAGAGCUACAUUCACACAUAAAUACAAAUUUAUAAACAACUAUGGUACCACAGGCAGCACCCAAAAAGGAUACCAAAGAUAAACUUAGAAUGCCAACACCAUUAAUCAAGGUUAAAGUAAAUUAAAUCGCCAAGCCAGUGAUUAUAUUGAGAUAGUACAAACUAGAUGCUCAGCAAACAACUAUAUUUUAGUGCUGAGUGAUGAAAUCUUAUAGUACCAUUCAUUCCUGUGGUGAAAUCUUAUAGUACCAUUCAUUCCUGUGGUGAACUAAUUUUUUAUGAAAAUGAUGAUAAUCUUAUGCUAGAAAGUAGCAAGUGGUUCCCAUCAUCAAGCAUGGCACAAAAAUAUACAUUGAUAUAUAGAUGAAUAAGAUCAAUAACUAAUGCAAUUAGUAUACUCGGCUGUCUAUUUCACUGGACAAUUUGUGCGCUUGUAAAGAAUCACACCUAUUUUAUGGAAAGGUAAAGCAUAACAGACAAAUCCAGUUAUCUAAAAUAGGCAUGCAAAGAAAUAAGUUCUGGAUCUCAUGUUCGCACACCAUUCUUAAAGAAUGAAGCUUAUAGGAAUCAUCAGAUUGAAUGAUUUUAAAUCUUUAAACUCUAUUUAUUUGGAAUGAAUGAAACCUGGUGGGUAGAAAUUGUGAUUUUUAGUUGAACAUGUAGAGGAAAAGAAAGCUAAUAUUCUAAAUUUUUAGCACAGAUUUCUAAGUACUAUCCUCCAGUUGUUCUUUUCAUCGUUGUAUUAUACAGGUCACUUUAUAUUUUCGUUUAGAAAAGGAAAUCAUAAAAGUAAGAGACUUAAAAUGUAGGUAAGCAUUCUUCAUUGCUGAAAAAAUAAUGAAGCAUUAUAUAGAAUCUGAACCCAAACAAUCAAUACAGGUUGUUGAACAAUUCGAGCAUAUUCGAAGGAAUGAAAGAAGAGAAAAACAUGAUUUCUAUAUUUAAAUAUAGUACAUGUAAAACGUGAGUUCCCUUUGGAACCACGGGUUGAGUUAAUAGUUCUUGGGAGGUUCGUGAGUAAGCUCGGCAAUAGGAUCAGCUGCAUUAUUGAUUAAAUGAAUUUCUUCUGGUCCCUUGGCCAAUUUCUCUCUCUUCUACAAUGAGAGAAAUGAUUAGAGGCAAAGAAUAUGGCUUAUCAAACCCAAGAACAAUCAGAGGUUCUAAGUGAAAAGCAUCACUAUUUCAUUGUGUUUUUGAGGUUUAAUGAGAAGGUAAGAUUGGAUGCAUGGCCGCUGUUUGUUUUUUCUAUGAUGCCAAGCAUCUAAUCUUACCUUUGAACAGUUUGGUAAAUGCAUCAUAAUAAUACAAUGAAAAGACAAUAGAUAUAAUUUUUAAAACAAAUUAGUGAAAUUUUCUUUGUUCCUGAAUCUUCUAUUAAAAAAUAAAUUUGGUACUCUGAUAUUAGCUGAACUGGCAUUCCUUUGACUUAUUUUAAAUGUUUGUUUUUCUCCCCGAUGCUUUGGAAAUAUACUUAUAGCCAUAUGAACAUGUAGAACAUAGAAUACCCAUACCCCUAUCCACCUUUCUCGAUGAGGAAGAAGAAUAGCAGAUUCUCUAUCAGCCGAAGUUGUGAUCAAUUUUACUGUUCAUAUCUACAAUAAAGGGUGUUUGGGAUGCUUCUGUUAGAUAUACUUAUUAUACAUCUGUGUAUGAAUAUAUUUUCCUCAAAUAUUUUAAAGUAGUGUUAUAGGUAAAGGGGUUUGAUGGAGUUCUGCAGUUCAUGUGAGGGAUUUGUAUAUUUUAUUUUUUGGUAUAUUUAUUUUUUAUGUGUAAGUCUGUGAAGAUAUUUUUUUCUUUGGGGUACGCAUCCGUAAACCCAAAAAAAUAAAAAAGGCACCCAAAAUUUAUCAUUUACUACUCAUCUAAAUCUAACAAUAGCUCAUACGCCCUUGCUAGUAAUAUAGAGUUGGGGGUACGGGUCAUAGUAGAGUAGCCCCAUGCAUUAACCGCUUUAGCAGAGAAAAAUAACCUUUUUGCUUUUGGAUCUUUGGCUGAGAGUAUGCAAAACACACUCAAAUGGACGAAGAUGCAAACCAGUGUUCAAAUGAAUGACUCGGACCUAAAUGCCCAAGCUGAGUACUCGGCAGAGUCUGAGCAACUCGGCCCAAGUUAGUCUGAGUACUGUAGCAGAAAAAAAGUUUUAAAAAAAUAAAACAAAAAAAUAGGAAAUAUAUGUUUAAAGUAGGAUUAAAUAAAACACGUCUAAAUAAGGUUAAAAAAACAGUAAAAGAAUAGAUUUUGAAAAAUCCGUUGUGACCGGUUCUAUUUCUGAAAUGAUCCAAAAAAGGGGAAAAAAUGUAAAAAUAAGUAUUCAUGGCCAAAAUACUUUCCAAUCUUUGCCAAAAUAAUAGAACCCAUAAAUAAACAUGUUACAAAUAGAUUUCUUAAUUUUUUGAAUUUUUUUAUUGUUGUUGAUAUUUUUUUUUUUAAGAUCCCUAAGUUGGACCCCUUACUCGGACAACUCGGGCCUGGCCACUGCCUGAGCCCAAGUAACUUGGCUGAAUCUGAGCUGACUUAGCUGAUUUUUAAAACACUAAUGCGAACGGUGAACCUUUGAAGAUAUGCUAGCUAUGACUGGCUUUGAUUAGACGCACUUGUGUUGAAGACAUAAGCUUUUAAGUGCGCAUGAAACUGCUAGAGAUCAUAUAUAUGCAAACUUACCAAUAUUUGCAUUUUACCAACCCAUUUUGUGUAUGAGAAAUAUGGCCAUGCUAAUUGUUGAAGAAUUCCUUUUUACAGUGAUAUCCUUAAAAGCAAGGGUGGCUUAUUCAUUGCUUCGACUACACUCUUCUUAAUAAGUAAUAUAGUUCAGGGAAUUGAUAUAAAAUGGUGUGGGUGGGGGUCUAAACACUUCAGAAUGCGUAAGCUCUAUCGAGAGGUGCAUUGGCCAAAUUGGUGCUGUAUAAUUCCCUUAUUGACAUAUUUUAAAGUCCUCGGGGGAGCAUAUUAUAAUUAUUAUUAUUAUUAUCAUUAGCAUUAGCAUUAGCAUCACCAUCACCAUCACCAUCACCAUCACCAUCACCAUCAAUGUUACUAUUACUAAUAUAAUUUUACUUGAUUGUUCUGGGGGAAGUUAUCAAAUCAUUAAACAAGAACCAUGCAGCUUAAUAUGUUAAAAAAAUCUGUGCAGUUUAAGAAUAAAUAACUAUGAUACCUCACAGGCUGAUGGUGAGCUGUAUGCUUGUGGUGACCAGGAGGUUACAAACACGUAGAUCCUAUCAUCUUCUCAAAUGUAAACCUGCCCACAUUGGUUGUGCUUUUAGAAUCCCCUCUUGGUUCAAUGAUCCUUAGUCUGCAAUUGAUGUCCAGAGUCGUAGAAACACUAAAAUUCUAUAAUAAAUUGUGUUAUCGAAAGAACAGAUGUUCUUAACCAUGGGAACAAUAAAGAAUCAGGGAUGUCAAGUUUGCUGAAGAUGGAGCGACGAUACCUAUCACAAUGUGUGUGAGGUGUGAAGGAAAGUGUCAAACCAUCUCAUAUAGUAAAUUUGCAAUUUUCUUUGUAAGAGACUAAAUAUUGAAAAUACCAAAAUCAGGAGUAAAUAUGAUGAGGGGUCCUGAGGAGUCCUGGUGCUAGAAAUCUAAGAACUGUCAAAAGUCGACAAGUCCGUGUCAAAUUAGCCGUGGUAUUCUAUUUUUUCUGGUGUAGUUCAGUGAUAUAAUUCAAACUUGGGAUGUAGGGUUGCAAUUGUCAACAUCUUAACCAAUUAAACUCAACCUUGAGUCCAAUUAGCAUGGUAUUCCUAGUGCAACAUGCCCCACAUCUUUAUUUGCUACUAUUGUGUGCUCUUGAUAGAAAGAAUUUUCAUUCUUGAUAGAAAGAAUUUUCAUUCUUCUUUUUUCAUUGUUUUUGGCAGCAAGAUAAGGAGAGGCUUGAGAAGCAGUUGCAUGAGAUGGCUGUGAUGGUUGAGAGACUGGAGAGUAGUAGACAGAAGCUUCUAUCUGAGGUUGCCUUUUUGUAAUAAUUUUCCUAUUUUAUUGGGUUUCAUUUUUCAUGUGAUAUUUUUAAUCAUGGUUUAAAACCACGGACUCAGAUCAGGACCCACUAUAGCUUAAUCUGAGUCAACUCCGUAGACAGCUGAGUUUUAGAAGAAUCAAGUGAGUUUUACCAAGACUGGCCUGACUAGGCAGUCUCGAGGAGUUGAUUCGGGUUAGUCCUGAGUCCACUUUUAACCCUCUGCUUAACACCAAUAUUAUUAUGGCUAAUCAGGCACAUUAAUUAUCUAAUGGCACACUCAAGCUAUUUUCUUGCUUUUAGAUUGAUUCACAAUCUUGGGAGAUUGAGAGGCUAUUUGUGGAGAAUUCAAACCUAUCAAAUUCUUAUAUGGAUGCCACAGAGGUUGCUGCUCAGUGGGAAAACCAGGUAGUGUGCCAUUAUACAGUGGUUUCUUGUUACUCAUUAGACAAUAUAUACACAUUCAAGAGUGCAUGCGAAAGAGGUUUAGCUACCAAUUUUAUUGUGUUGCUUGCAUAGUGAAGUUACAGAAGGACUUUAAUUGCUAUGUUUUUUUGUUAAAUGAUUCGAUUGGUCAUAGAGAAUGUAUACCUGAAACUAUACGUAAACAAUGUGUGGUGUGCAAUAUACAGCCUCGGCAUCUACUGCCCAUUCUCAAAACCGACAACAGGAUGAACCCUAUUCUAACAAUGGACAUUCACCCUAGAAAUACGGUUCAUGUCCACUAUCUAUUUUGAGAAUGGAUGGUGGAGAGCCUGGUUGUUUAUUAUAUGCCAUGGCCAGGCACAAGGCAUGCAUGAUAUAUACAGAGGAUAAUACUGCUCAAUGCAUUUGAAAAAGAAUUUUAUUUGCUCCCUUGCUUGGUAAUUCAUUCUUUUCUUGAUUCUCUGUAGGUGAAGGAUUGUUUGAAGCAAAAUGAAGAGCUUCGUGGUUUGCUGGAUAAACUAAGAAAUGAACAAGCUGGUUCGUUGUAUAUUGCUACCAAUGAAGACCAGUUAGGUUCAGAAGUCGAGCAAAAGUAUGUAACUGAAAACUUGAGAUUAAAGGUUAGCUCCUCAAGCAAAGUAGCCAUUUCUAUUCUUGUUUUUGGAAUUUUUGCCCCCAUUCUUUACUGAUGGUGACUAUAGCUUCACCUUCAAAGCAGUUAGCCCAAUAAAUAUAAAUGAAUACUGAAAUAUAUGUUAGGAAGCUUUAGAAAGGCUUGAUUUAAAGACUCAGCUAUUGUUUUGUGGUCUUACACUUAAAACUAAGUGACACCCAGUUUGCAUGGGAAGGGGGAGUAUUCAAGUUUAUUCGCUCAUACAAAAUGAGAUUACUCGCCUAAAUAAUGAAAAGAAGCAGAUAAUAUAAUUAUGUUGUUUUGUGCUUCGUGCUUGUUUGUGUGCAUGCACGCUUGUGUGUGUGUGUGUGAGAGAGAGAUCUGAUUUGUCUUUCUGUAAACUUAAAAGGGAGAACUUGCGAAGGCGCAAAGCAGAGCUGAAGCUCUAAGUGCUGAGGUCUUGCAGUUGUCAACCGAGCUGAAACAGUCAAUUCAAGCAUACAACAAUCUUACCCGCCUGUAAAUAUUCUCUCUUUCAUUACAUUUUUCUAUUAUUCCUUUCAUUUCUUUGACCUUCAGAUUUAUGGGUGGAUUGCGUUAUGUGCUCUCUUUGCAGCUAUAGACCCAUCCUAUGGAAUAUAGAGAAUAACUUGACGAAAAUGAAGCAGGAGAGCUUUCAGACUGCCCAGUGAUAUCUAUAUAUCAAGAAUUCGAAAGAGAUGGGGUAGUAUACUGUAUGGAAAAGGCCACAUACUGUUGUUUUGUUUAUCAAAUAACACGAUUUUUAUGCAUUUAUUUAUAUAAAUUAAUAGCAAUGGUCAUUCUUCAAUUUCGGGAUAACUUUUGCUGGCUGUCUUCUGUAUUUCCAAGGUUCUGUUCUUUAUGACCAUGGUUAUUUUUGGGUUCCACUUGACUUUUCAUUUGCUUGUAGAAUUGGAUGAGUUGUAGUUGACUUUUCCUAUUGCUUGUGAAAAUGGAAUCAUGUCAAUGGUUGCUGCAAAUAUAUUAUAUAACAUCUUCAUAAGGGGUUAAACUUUGCAUCUGUCUCUCACAUUCCGUGGUGGUUACUGCUAAUAUAUAAAACCGUGUUAAAGGUUACUGCCACAUCUUUUUCUCUCUCAAAUUUUCACCCGUCUCACACGCAUUCCUUGGUGGUUGCAGCAAAAUUAGGGGUGGCAAUGGACCUGAACCGACCCGGGCCUGAUGGCUAGACCUGACCCAAGUAUGGGUACCAAAACUUGGACCCUACGGGUCAGGUCUCAGGUCUAAAUCUUGGAUCCAAACACUAUACUGAUUGGAUCCAAUUGGGUCCAGAUCUCGCAUUAUAUUUUUGAUUAACCGGACUGGAUCUGCCUGCAAAUUUCUCUCUCCCUCUCUUUCCCAGUUUCUUUGAUUAACUGGUUGCUGCUCUCUCUCUCUCCUCAUCUCUCUGUAUAUUCUCUCUCUACCUUUUUUCUCUCUCUUACUUUCAUAGGACUUGUUUUUCGAUCGACUCAAAACAUAUGGAGAGUACACGUACCUGAUGUGCAGUGAUGAUCCAAUCAUCUUCUCCAUAUCUAUAAUGUGAAAAAAAUAAUGAUGAGAGCCUCAACUGCAUCUAAUGUACGUAUCUUUUACAACUAUCAAAGGGAAAAAGUUUAUAUAAUUGCAACCUUAUAAUGUAGAAUUAUGGAUGCACUUCAAAAAUCCAUCGGAAACGGUAGUUUUAAUGACGAAAAAUCCUUUGAUUGAUCAUCUCGACAUCGAGAUAUAUGACCAUGAAAAAAAAAAAGAUUUUAAGUCUCAUAAAUAAUGCAUUUUACAACAUAUUAUCUAUACCAUCCAUUUUCAAGAUUUUCAUAUGUUUAUAGAUUUAUUUGAUUUUAAACAUUUUUUAAAUUUAAAGUUUUAUCGUUAGAUAUAAAAAUAGAUUUUGAGAUAAUGCUAAGAACAUUUCACAUCAAAAUUAUAUACCAUGAUAAAAUUUGAAUGUGCACCUUACCUCUACAGCUACGGAUGCAUGCAUCCAUAAGCCAACUGCACCCCUAUUAAAUUAGUACCACAAGUUUAAACUUUAAACUUCUAUUUUAUUUUAUUUUUAAGACAAAGUGCCCUUUGGCAUAAUGGCCUCUACAUUAUUUGGACCCUCCUCAAACCAGCUGGUCAUGUUAGUCCCAAGCUGGUUAUGCUCGUUCCAAGCUUGAGGAAGAGGGUUAUGUUAGAUAGGUAACCAACGUAAAAAUUUAUCAAAUCUUGCUAUGAAUCUUGAACCUAUGAGCAAAAUGAUGGAAUAAGAUUCAUGUAGCCCACCUCAAACACUUGGGAUAAGGGGUAGAUGAUGAUGAUGAUAAAAGUAUAUUGUGCACUCAUUUUGUAUCUAGCGAUGAAGGCUAGCAUUCUAGGGAGCAUAAUGUACAUUUAUUACCUCAAACAAGAGUUGCUUGGGGAGCUUGAAAAUUUUGGAUCAACCUUAGAGUUAUUUUUAAAAGCAAUGAAGUUUGAGUUCUUCAAUACUUAGAUCUUGCCAUCAAAAAAUUGGAAAGCACCUGUUCAGUUUUGGGCUUUUUUUUUUUUCCCUUAAAGCAAAUAGAACGAUUUGUAUCUUUUUUGUGUGGACAUUGGUUGUUAGUUUCAAAAGGCUAAAUUUCCAAUUUAGAGUCUAUAAAAUACUCCUAGCUUAGGUUUUACCCAAGAAAGAAAAUAAAUAAUAUGCUCCCUUAGGAGCAGCAGAUCUUUUCACUUUUGACAAUGAAACCUUAGUGCGCGAGACUAAGAGUGAAGAUCCACAACACUAGGGCUAAAGGUCUCUGGUCUAGUCCUUGUUUCAGGUGCAUGGCCCUUUGAUAACCUCCACAGAGGAUUUGAUUCCUCUAAGAAGAAAAUAAAUGGAACAAACAAGGCAAAAAACCGGCCGAAAUUUGGACUAAUAUCUAUAAUUUACAAGAGCCAAAAUAUUUAUUUUGAUCUUCACAAGAGCCCAAAUAUCAGAUGCUCUAUCAUCCACUGCCUUGGUUGAAACCCUACUUAGGAGCAUAUGUGACCUUGGAUGCAAUCUCCUCAAAGUACAGACCAAUUUUGGCAAAAACAAGAAAAAAACCACACGCACUCUCUAUGCAUCUAAAAAAAUGUCUUAACUCUUAACAUUUGAUUAGGAACCGUUUAAUCGAUGGUACAAUCUAAAUGUUUAGAAACUCAAAAUUCCACCUUACUUUUAAAAAUAUGCUUCCGGUGAUUUGUAUGUGGAUUAAAAAAUUCCAUAAAAUUCCAUAAAAUUCUCGCAAGUAGCUCUUUUGCUUGAGAGAAUAUGUAUAUAGUGUACUCCUAUGCGCUCUUCACAAGAUUCCACAUGGAAUUCUACCAAAAUUCAUUCUAAACUCGAAUAUUUUGGCAAGUACAGUUGAUUGGUUCUUUGCACAUAAAGAUAGCGGAUUCAUUUCUCAAAGUCUUAUUAUUAGCAAUCUUUUGGCAAUGGCGACUAUGGGUGUUACCAACAACACUCGUAGUGAUGUUGUUUGGAUACCACCACUGAAUUUUUUCAAAUUUAAUUUUGAUGGAAGUUCACCUGGCAAUCUAGAGCCAACUGGCUAUGGUGGACUCAUCAGAAAUAAUUUGAGGGUCCUUGUGGUAUUACAAUAGCAAACGAGGCGAAAGUACAAGGUUUAUUAGAAUGUUUGAAAUUACUAUGCACUUUGGAAAAGAGCAUGAUUAUCGAAGAAGACUUAACAAAUGUUAUUGCCUAGAGUAAGAGAAAUGCCCAUAUUUUUUAGAGAUUAAGGAUUAUUUUUUAUCAAAUUUGAAAUAUUUUGUCAACCUCUAUGACAACGGUCCAACAUAAAUAUCCCAACCUCUGUGGCAACGGUCCAACAUUAUUAUAAAGAUGUGAAUGAAGAUACUGAUGUUCUUACCAAAAAAGGAGUCCAUAUUACCUCUCUGUUGGUUGUUUCAUUUCUGUACUCUUGAACAUCUUGUAUUUUAUGUAUGAAUUAAGAGUAAUGAUCCUAUUAAACCCUUCCACACCCAUGUAAAUAGGAAUCCAAAUGAUCAUAGCACAUAUCUCUAAAAAAAACAACUUUUGAUAAUUCUUUUAGAGAUUUGUACUAAAUUUAAUAAUGAUCUUUGAAGUCCUACACAUCCGUAUAGGAGCGUCUCAAUCAUUUCUCAUUAAUUAAUGAUAAGAUCAAAAAAAAAAUUCAUUCAAAACUCGUCCCAAGCCCUUUACUCUUUUUUUAUUAAAUAAAAAAAAAAAGAAAUACGGCCCUUCAAUACGGCAAUUGGGUAUCAUUGCCAUUUCAAGAAAAGUUCGAUAUCCUCAAGUGACUUGUGGAAAGAGCACCAGUCAAAGGCAUAAAUGUCAUAUUUUAGAACUAAAGGGCGUAUUUAGCAUUCUAAAAAAGUUCCGGUAAGGGGCAAUCCAGUCAUUUUUACUGCACCAAAAAAUUUUUAAAAUCUUUUUGGAAUCCCUUUCUCUUCACCCUUCUCCCGUCUCCCUUUAUUUCGAUCAUUCUCUCCGCUUCAAAAACCAGACAGGGAAAGUUUCCCCUUUCUUUUUUAGUCGGUUUUCUCUCUCUUCUUUCUCUCUCUGAUUAUUUGGAAAAUAUAAUGCAAAUCAUUUUUUAAUCAUUCCAUUAAUGGGUGUGAGUUUGUACGCAGGGUCUGGUGCACAAGGGUCCGGGUUUUUCUUAAUUUCUUCAGUAUUAUUUUUUAUGUUCUUCGCCCCUUUUAUUAGGUACAGCUGAAUUACGGCCUUUUGUUUUUUUUUUUAAUGGAAUUUGACGUAUUUUUAGUAGAAAUAAUAAUAAUUUAAUUAAUUACUGUGGCGUGAGCUGUUGCAUAAUGGUUAAGAUCUCUGUCAGUGUUAUUUGGGUUGUUCUUUGUCUAUUGAUUUGAUUAUUGUUGUUUUCUGGUCAUGUAUUGUAUUAUACUUUUGGUUAUUUAAAUCUCAGGAAAUUUUGUGUUCAAAAUUUGUUUCUUGUAUGGUUCUUGCAUCUAUUGAACAGUUGAUUGGAAAAGUGUACCUUAUUUCCAUUUCUUUCUGUCCUGUUUUUCUUCCUUCUUCGUUUAAAAUAUUGGGAUUGAAGUCAACCUGUGGAAUUAUUGCAAUGGUUGACUGCCUGUGCUUCAGUGAACUAAAAUUGUGGUUUCUUGAUGAUCCGGACUAUCUUCAUCUAUUAUAGGUAGUUAUUGGGAUUCUAUUUUCAUCUAUUACAGGCAGUUCUUGGGAUUCAGAUACCUAUGGUAAAAAUAUGAAUUUUCAAUUUUUGUUUGAAGAUUAGUAUCAGGCAUUUGUGAUGAAAUAUUUUUAUUAGAAUUUUGAUUGGAAAAAAUGCAGGAUCACAACGUGCCGUAGGGAGGAUUAGAUGAAGAGCUCCAUAGUCUAGGCUAUAUGAUUAAACCUCAAAUUUUGUUUUCUGUUUAAUCUUUGCAGGAGUGGACUGCAUUUUCUAAGAAGAUUUUAAUAUAAAGAAUAAAUUCUCCUUAUUCUGAAGCAUACGAAUUGUGGAAGUCUUGGUUGAUGACUACAUUAUCCCGUUGACAAAUGGAAAGAAUCAAAUGGCAUUAUCAUGAUUUUAUUGAAGAAAUCAUAUGUUUACGCCAAUCAAUAUAAAUAAAGAAAUGACAAGUAUAACUAAUAUGCGCUCCUAUUAUAUCUUCUGUAUUAGGAACCUGAUUUCUGUGUAUGUAUCCCUCUUGGUGUAAAAGAACAAAGUGUGUUUCAAAAGCACUGCAAAUCAGCAUCAUCUACACGUAAUGUGCUCUUAUACAUGCUCCUUAAUCUUUGAAUGGAUUUAGUUCAUGGAAAAUAUUUCUAUAGUACGGUCAUUGUUUUUUUUCCUUGAGCCUUUUUAUUGGUGUACUGAUCUCCUGGUUAUACAAAUACCAGCAAUGAACCUAACAACUGAGCAUGUUCUAUCACAUGAAAUGCCAAAUUUUGUCAAUUUGUUCGAUCACCUGUACAAGUUCAGCGACUUUAUUAUGGCUGCUCUUAAUAUCAGAAUCUCCAUCCACUUAGUAGGAUCCUGGUCCUCGUCCCUUUGCUUUUGAUUGAUACCCACUUACUGGAACUGUGAUCUUUGUUGAUGGGAAGCUGGAGCUUUUAGUUCCUGUGGCUGCAGUACAUUGGGCUUAUUUUAUUUUUUAUUUUACUAUUUAUUGGAACUUACAUGGAACAGAUGGUUACCAAUUUAGCCAUUAUUACGUAGUUGUUUAUGGGCUUAUUUAGAGGGAACAACAUAAAUGAUCCUUAUUUAGUAUUUGGUGUUUGUCAAAUGUCUUGAUAUCAAUUUCCUUAGUAUUGGUAAAUUAGAUUGUUUUGUGACUUUAUGCACAUCGCGCUUUUUCUGAGUAUUCCUUAACUGUGUUCACCCCAUUGUGUGAUGGCAUGGAAUUAUAUUAUACUUUCCUGUCUAUAUAUUAAUUGAGGACCCUUUUUGGAAAGAUGCUGUUUACUGCGUUCUGCACUGAUAUCCUUAUGGAUUUAGCUUAAUUAAGUUAUAACGAAAAUUUAUGGUUCAUUUCCUGAUAAUAUGUGACAUUCGGUUUCAGGAAUAUAUUUUUGUUUGUUGAUCCUUCUGUGGUGCAAAAUAUGCUUCAACUUUAUCAGAUGGGCAAAUGGCACUCAUAUUUUCAUUGACACUAAGUGAAUAGGUAAAAUGUUAAGUGGCCAGUGGGGUGAAAAUGCUGCUGGGAAAAAUUAGAUGGCCAUGGAAUGUAUAUCAUGGAGAUGCAUCUGUAACUAAAGGACUGCUAAGUGAUAUUCCUCCAGAAAUUGAGUUGUCUGAGUAUCAGAGGUUACCAAGUGGUGACACUGAGAAUCCUCCUGGUCUUCUUAAUGAUGAAAGCUUGAAAGUGGAAACAGUUACAGAUUUGGAUUUGUUCUAUUCAAGGGUAUACAGUUACUACUGUGAAAAAGGGCUUUGGUGCAUUGUAACCAAGUGGAUAGUGGAAAUUUUGAGCUUGGGUUUCAUGAUUUGUUUUUCGGGAUUUUUCCUUUUGUUUGUGGAUUGGCACAAUCUUCGCAAUGCUAAGUGUGGAGUUGAUGCCAUUGAAUCGGGAAGUAAACCAUGUGACCUUGUCAAGGAAGUUGUUCAUAGCAAACCAUUCAUGCCAUUCACUCUUUUCAAGGGAAUCGUUGCAGUGUACUUGGGAUUAUUUUCCAUUUAUUGGGCCUUCUGUUUCUUGAGGUUUUUUGCUCAGUUGAAGGGCACAAUUGCUGUUCGUAAUUUCUACAACAACAGGUCAGAUAAUAUAAAGGGAUAGACUGAACCUACAGCUGUGGAAAACCAUGUUCCAAUGGGGUGUCCAAAUGAAAUGAUGGAUGGUGAGAGACAAGGUGGGACCUACUAGAAGAGAACAGGCCACCCAAUGUUGGGCCAUACUGUCUAUCAACGUCUAUCAUUUCAUUAGUCCGAGGUGAUCAAAAUGGACUAUGGCUUUUCAUGGUCCUUUUAACUUACCAAAUACUUCUUUACAUAUAUAAUUCUUUCUGAUAUAUUGUUCAUAAGUUGUGUUAUGUACUCAGAUUUACAUUCAUAAAUGCUUUUGCAGUCUCAAUAUCAAUGACCGUGAAGUUCAGACAAUAUCCUGGUCAGCAGUUUUAGAGAAAGUUGCACAAGUGCGUUGUCCAUCUGUGGUUAAGGAUCUCUCUGCCCAUGACAUAGUAAUGCGCAUCAUGCGCAGGGAAAACUACCUGAUGGCGAUGUUAAAUAAAGGUGUUCUCGCUGUUCCAGUUCCCUAUUGGGUCCCUGGCGCUGGUCCUGCUAUUAAUUCUGCCAAUGGUGGUGGCCGCAAGAACCGUCUCAUAUUGACAAAGACCCUUGAGUGGUGCCUGAAUUGGUGUAUAUUGCAAAAUAUGUUUGAUAGGUACACACCUUGGUCAUUAUUGAACCUUUUUGUAUUUUUUUAAUACUAAUGCUAGGGUAGGGAGAGUUUUUGGGACUUUAUGCCACCCUAGAGGAUCUACACUUCUGUAGUUGUGUAACUUCUUUCUUUGCAGUCCUUGUUAAUAAUCUAUUGAGUGCUAGUCCUCAUUAUUAAUUUAUUGUAUAUGGUUUAAUUAUAAUUUUUCUUAUUGGCUAUGACAUCCCGGUCACUGAAUAAGUCUUCUCAGAGACAUUAUUCUUGAGGAACUCCUUUUGGAGUUCUGCAAGAAAACAUUUCUUUGUACAGAUCUACAUUGAUGUGUUUAUAAAUUUGAAAUUCAAAUUUUAUGGUAAUUUUCCAGGUUUUGCCUCUAGGUUUCUGAUGCAGAAAAUUGCAUCUAAGAUUUUUUGAGUUUUGAUCCAUCCUGGUGUACUUGACAUCCUUUACGAGGAUUAUCUGAUUUAUGUUAAAAGGUUAUUGUCAAAUGCUCCAAGCUAUGUGUGUUAUACAUUUGUUGGGUGUGACUACUAUUUUUAGUUGGAAAGUAGUGAUAAGGAAGAAAAGAAAAUAGAAGCGCCUGCAUAUGUAUCCUACAGUUGUAUUUGCCCUAAACCUUGUCAACCUGAAAAGAAAUAACACAAUUCAUAUAAAAGAACCUUGGAAACUGAUUCCCGUUUCUUGUUCCUGUUUACUUCUCAAAUGCAGUUCAUCAUUUUCUUCUUGAAGUUGUUAUCUGAGGAUACUAUUUCAUUUCCAAUUUUUAGAAUUAAGUCACUUAGGUGCAAAAUAAGUCUGUCUCUAAAUAAAAUGGUAGGUUGCAUUGUGGAUUGCAUACAAGCGUUCAUCCAUGAGAUUGUGGUUGGAUUAUCUAAGAAUUUCAUGUUGUAGGAACUUCAUGAUUCGGAGAGACUUUGUCAACAACCCCUUUGCAUUAAGGAAAAAGCUUAUGGCUUUUGGGUUUGGGAUGCUUUUGGUAUCUCCUUUCCUUGCUAUUUUUAUGUUGGUAUAUUGCUUUCUAAGGCAUGCGGAACAGUUCUACAACCAUCCAAGCACAGCAUCAUCUCGAAGGUGGUCAAAUUUGUCAAAAUGGCUACUUAGAGAAUUUAAUGAGGUAGCUUCUGGUUUUGUUCUGUGUUACAGUAUUUUCGUCUCCUUUUACCUUUUUUCUUAAUUGAUUUUGUGACCUCUAGUUGUUGAAGUUAGUGCAACAUUUGACUUAAGAAGCCAAUUAGUACGCUGCUAUCCAUUGAUAACAAUUUUGAGGCAAGAUUCCUUAUUUAAUGUGUGUAUAACAAGUUAUAUUGUGCUACUUUCAGUUUGGACAUGGGAUGGAAUGAUUAUCAGGAUGAAGAUAGGAUUUGCUAUUUUUCUUGUGUCUUAAUAUGGGCUGGAUAUUGGCACAUAAAGAUAUAGCAAGAGAUGCAUGUUAGAUUGCCCUAUUGGCAGACUCUAAUUGAAAUAUGUUCUACCCUCUUCCGUUUUAUAUUUUUCUUAUCUCAUUAGUCUACUUUUUUCACUGUUUUUGAACCGUUACUUUUCAUUAAGAUAAGAAUUUAAAUUUGUUUGGAAACUGAACUAAGCAAAGGAACCAUAUUUCAAAUUAUUAUUUUCUUAUUGAAAAUUCAUUAGCAUGAUACUCAUCAUUUUAUGUGAGAUAUUAAUUCCAUACUUAGGUAUUAUAUGUUCCACAUAUACAUACCCAUUGCAGAGCACAUCAUAUGCACUGUCAUGCUCUGAUAAGAUUUCUUUGUUGCAUCACUAUUAACUUUUAAAUUUUGAUAGUGCUUUUGUGCUGUAAUAUGCAUACUCUCUCACCAUUGUCCUCCUACCUAGAAGCAGACUUCUAGCAGUGAGGAGUUUCCUAAUCAGGUAUUAUUUUUCCUUAUUGGACUUGGUGAUCCUUCUCCAAGUCAUCUUAAAAUUUUUGAAGAAAAUUAUAAAAGACAAAAAUUUAAACAAUACAGCAGUUUCUAAAAAGUCGAUUUCCCCAGAUUUAGAAAAGCAAACCAUGCCUGGAAACUAAUUCUUUUUUCUAUUUCUGUAAUUUAUAUCAUCACUAUUUUUUCUGUGAAUAUAUUUUCAUUAUUAUCUUUUAUUUUUUAAUCUAUUUUUUUUUUUGGUUUGGUAAUGAUGAAUUGUUAUUCUAAGGCAGAUGUUUGAGACCUUAAUUCACAGAUGAAACCUUUUUGCUCAGUCAUGAAAGCUUUUACCAGUAAAUAAACAAUAACCAAAUAGAAGCUUUUCUCCCCUUUAUUUUUUGACGAUAUUUCAAAUAGAUGGUAGAUUUCUAACCUCAUUAUAGCUGAAUUAUUUUUAUGUUGUGUUUCUUUUCAGGUGGAUCAUUUGUUCAGACAUAGGCUCAAUACUGGCAGUGUACAUUCUGUAGAAUACUUGAAACAGUUCCCCUGUCCUAUGGUAUCACUGAUAGCGAAAUUUAUAUCAUUUGUGGCUGGUGGGUUUGCGGCUGUUCUCAUUAUAAUUGCUUUUCUGGAUGAGUCUCUGCUAGAAGCUCAAGUAAGUUGUUUAAUUGCUUUACCUUAUAGUGCCUUUGCAUUGCAAUAUUUUCAAUUCAGAAUAAAAUGUGAAACUAUCCUCUAGUCCUGUGGACUAUGGAAAGAUCAUUGCAUGUUGGGUUGUUCUUUGACAUGAUGGGUGGUGAUGUGGAGAGAGGGGGACCCACCAUGGGUAAUGUGUGGGCAGGUUCAAGUCCCAUCACCAUCCAUCAUUAAUGAAUGGUGAUGACCCUUUGGUCUACACUUCUCACACUGGUAGUGUCUUCUUCUGAUUCCUAAAAUUUUGCACUCAUCUCCUCUGUGCAGCUAUAUGGUCGCAACUUACUCUGGUUUGCUGCUAUUUUUGGAACCAUUACGGCAAUAAGCAGGGCUGUUAUACCUGAUGAGUUACACGUUUUUGAUCCCGAAGGUGCUAUGUCUAUUGUUGUCCAGCACACACAUUAUAUGCCAAAAAGUUGGCGUGGUAAAGAAAAUUCCAAUCAUGUCCGUUCUGAAUUUGAAGCACUUUUUCAGGUAAACUAUUUCUGAAUGUUAUGGUUGAUUGUAGCUUAUAUUUAAAUACAGUGUUUUUGUGGGGUGAUGUGGCUUAUUAGAUGUUUUCACUUACUCAUAUUUUUUUUGUUCAAUACAGUAAUGGUUGUUACAUACAGGAUCAUGUAUGAUAUGAUGGAUUUUGAAUGUUUGUUUUCAAUAGAUUUUCCUGCUAUAUUUAAUUAUAAUCUUUUCCUCAUCACAAAAUAAAUCUUAAUCUAAAAUUUAUAAUUUUUCUCUUAAUUUAUAAUGCAUCACCAAAUAUUUCUUUUACCCGUUACUGCUUUCACACCAUGUCAAACAUAAGAAUGCCUAUCUGUUGAGACCUUUGAUUAUUGGGACAAUGUUAGCUUAGUUACCUUGCAAAGGUUUCUUUGGAAUUUUUAUGUAGUCAGGAUAAAAUAUCAAACAUGUGUCAAUGCUAAUUGUAUAAUUUCAAGGAACCGUACUUCUCUGCACAAUAAUUUCUUUCAGAUGAAGUGCAUUUAGCAUCAUAGUUGUUAACUAGACAGAGUAAAUCCACUUCUAUUAUUUUAAUUGGUCCUUUAUGCUGAGGGACAAAAGCAGGAUUGAUUCUAUUUAGUACGUUCUUAAUUUCUUUUGAUAAUCAUUGUAUAAUUUGCUGAUCACUUUAGUUUACCAACUUUCUUUCACAGAUGAUUAUGCCUUGUCAAUUCAUAUUCCAUUUGCUAUGGAAAUUUAUAGUUGGUCAUUUGGUGCUUUUUGCAGUAUACUGGGUUGAUGUUAUUGGAAGAUAUGGUUUCCAUAUUCCUAACUCCUUACGUUCUUUUCUUUUUGCUGCCAAAGGUACGCUCUUUCACUCACUGAUAGAGACUUAAAACUGAUAGAUUUCAACUCAUUUUUUGGUUUCAUGGUGAUGGGGACCAGAACCCUGUGUCAUUGGAACAGUUACUGAUAUUAUGAUAUCUAGCACACUCUUUUUGGAUGAGUGACCAAUUUUAUUAAUCAAAACUGGUAAGAGAGUUGCUUAAAUUUUUAAAAAGGCUAGUGUUUUGUGUUCCUAUAACUAAAUGGUUCUCUAGUUAUACUCUCCACUUAACAAGGUAUCUGGAUGAUUUGCUAGUCAUUAAGCUAAACCAACACUUUUUUUCUAAAGCAGCCACUGUUGUAAAACUUGGAUUUGACCGCCUACCUGGCCAAGGGUACAGGCCGCCUAGGCUACUUGGCUGGCACCUAGGCUGGAGCCUAGUUCCCUUGGCGGCCAAUUGAGGAAGGUGGGGUUUUAGGCCCCAUAAUGAUGUUUGAGGGGUUGGGUUGGAAACCAAAUUGAUUUUACUGUGUCAGAAACCAUUUUUUUUCAGAAAUGCAAAUAGAAAACAUUUUCUAAAUCCCUAAAGUUUGAAACAUGAAACUAACCAAACCUUGAUAAAUAAUUAAUACACAAAAUCAAAAGAUUCCCAUUUCAAUCAAGAGAAAAAUUUAAGAUAGCUAAACUAGAAAAAAUCCAUUUGGAUUAAGUUUGCUUGAAAUUGUGCUAAGAUUGGGUUACCAAUCUUAGUAAAAUGCCAUUAACCACAACCAAAACCUGCUCUUGAAUAUGGGCCACAAAUCCAAAGUUCCAAACAUAAACUAGGAAAAGAAAUGCAAGAACAAAACCAAACAAAGGGGAGGAAAAAAAAAAAAAAAACCUGAAAUUCAUAGAAAUCAUCUAACCCAAAACAAAAAAAUUAAAUAUUCUAACCUUUCAAAAUACAAUAGAUAUUGGCUCGAAUUGGUAACCAUGUGUCGCCAAGAGUCUUCUUUGACAACCACUUCAAGCCACAAAAAAUAUAGGGUUGGAUGCUUUUCGUUUUCGAAAUCGAAAAGUUCAAAAAAAUUUAAGCUUCCAAAAAUCUCAAAAAUCUUGAAAUGUUGAGUUUUCCUCACUUUGAAUUAAAAAUAGUGUUUGGGGGAUUAGAAUGCCCUCCAAAACCCUUUCCCCCCUUAUGGUAUGCUGCCUUGGCAGUUGGCAUUUUUUCACCCUCAAGCCAAGGUAUUUGAGGUACUGCCUAGGUGCCUAGGAGAAGGAGGGCACCUAGGCAGGCCCUCGAGCGCCUAGGCGGGUGCCCAGGCACCUCGAUGCCUAGGCAGUCAUCUAGGCCUAUGUGCUUCCGUGAGGCCUCUUGUUCCUCAAGGCGGCUGAUUUUUCAAACACAGAAAGCAAUUAUAUAAUCUUUUAAAUGCAUGGAGCCAUCUUUGUAUAAAAUAUGCCAAAAACUAAGGGCUGAAUAAUGAUGCUGGUUAUCAGUGAUCAGAAACUCAUUGAGUCGACUUGGGCCUGACUGGAUACUAGGCCGGUUCUUGCCCACAAUCUGGCAAGUCGCCCCAAUUGGAGAAAAGGUCAAAACGAAAAAAAAAAAAGGCCUGUAAUUUUUCUUUUUUAUUUUUUAUCCAAUGAUCCAUAUCUGUGAUCGAUUUGGAAACAAAUUGAUCCCUCUUAACCCCCUAAAGUCAUUCCUUUGAUCAAAAUUUGCAUAUGGGUAAGAUUUUUUCAUAAAAAUCUCACCAUUUUUUGAGCUCUAAAACCCAAUCCGCUUUUUGUGCAUUCUCACUCUCAUUUCUCAACCAAAUAAACUAAUAUGCUUCAAAAUGUCAGUAUUGGAGUCCUCUUACAGACUGUUGGAUUGAUAAGCAAAAGAGAAAAAUUGAGAGUUCAAAUUUUGGGGUUUUUUUGAGCUCGAAAUAGGAAAUUAUUAAAUUUUCUCACAUAUUUUCACCAAAUUCAUUCAAAUUUAUUUCAUUAUGUUCCUAACAAAUUGAUCUACAAAAGCCCUAACAAGAUUUUCUGAAUCAAAACCAAAAAUCUUGACGAUUUUUUUUUUUCCCGGCUAUUUUUCUGCUAGUUUCUAUAUUAAAGUUUUUUUUUUUUUACUUUUUUUAUCUGAUUUUGAUUUAUAACUCCUAUUAAAUGAAUUUAAAUAUUUGGUUUUCAAUAUUUGAUUCUAUAUGUUUUUAGUUAUUCUUUGCCCUUUUUUAUCUGUUUUCUCUUUUUGUAAAAACAAUUGACCAAGUCAGCUGGUAUGACUUUGCAACUCGGCCAGUUUGACUCGAACUGGUGGGUCACUGGUUCGACGCACCAGUCCAAUUUUUGAAAACACCACUUUUAUUAAAUAAAAAGGAAAUACAUAGGUGGCAGGUGUAAAAUUUUUUUUCCCCUUUUUUAAUGAUUUACUUUUAGAGGAAGAUGUAGUCCAAUGGAUUACUGUAUACAUUUUCUUUUCAUAUUUACGGACUAAUUAUACAUUUCUCAAAUGAUACAACUCAUUGAGAAACGUUUGGAGAUUAAUUGGAGAAGGGGCCAUAGAGAACCUCCAAUAAUAUAUCACUGGUAACAAAGAAUGGGUGUAGCUUGGAAAACAAUGUAACUGUAGUACAUUGAACCAUGGUGCACUUCACUUUUAUGGCUAAAAUUUGUGGUACACCGAGUAACGACUUAAGGUACAACAAACGGUACAGCUUCUGAAUUUUUGUAUAUUCUUCUGCAGAAAGUAGAUGGAAUUUUGAAAUUCAUUUCUGAUUUCACAGUGGAUGUUGAAGGCGUUGGCCAUGUUUGCAGGUCAGCCUUGUUUCCUAAGCAUAUAGGAAACUUUGCUUCUUUUUUGUUCUGCGGUAAUGGGUAUUGGCAGUUGCAUACCUUAUCGCCCUACCAACUUGAGAUACGUUCUGCCAUUGCAAGCAUGAGUAAUUCCCUCAGUUUUCUGCAGUUUGAGUGUGUUCGACUUUGAAAGCCAUGGAAACAGAAAGUAUGGAUCCCCAUACCACACAUCCAAGGAGAAGAGAAGUUGUCAAGGGAAAAUGGAGAAGUCUUUCUUGAGGUAUAUUGAAAAUCAUGGCUUCAUGGUGUCCUUUCCCCCUCAUCCUUUCCUAUUCUGUUGGCUGGCUGCUCAAGAAUACCGUUUCACACCUCUGGGUUUAGUUCUUGUUUGCGAAAGAAUGGAACUUUUCAUUUAUUUGCCACAUACUCAUGUGAGGAAGAGUAUUAUAAUCUAGAAGACUUUGGAAAACCAUUCUCAGGGGCACCAUUAUCCAAUGAAAUGGGCGGGGAUGAAGUGGGGGUGAGGCCCACUGGAGCAUGUGACCCCGAUGGUGGGUCUCACACUCUGUAUCGCUCUUGGUCAUUUUAUUGGACUCCAAAGGCCCAUUUUUCUGUAGUAUAUUGGAUUAAAGUAGGCUCGUCUUUUAAUGAAUGGAUAUUUACUUUUGAGAUCAAUGGCAAAAGCUUAACACAAACUGAAUUUGCUCAGACCAAAUACUUCUCUGUACUUUUACUUGAGAUAAAUGGACAUGGUUUCUUGGUCCACAAUCUUGUGUUAAAUUUCUACAAAUCCUUCACAUUUCUAACACACACACAUACACAAAUAUCUGAAAGUGAAUAUAUGCUCGCCCUUUAUUCUUCUUAUUCUACCUUGUAGCUUUAAGAACAACUACCCGAGUUGGGAGCCAAAUGCUCGUGGAAAGCAGUUCUUAUCAACGCUACAAGAUUUCCAAGAACAAGUUCAAGGCCAUCAAAUUCCUCAAAGAUUCUCUGAUAACACGAGAAGUGUUUCGCUUGGAGAGCUCCAUCAGAGGUUGUCCUUAUCGAACAAAGCCCAAGUGGGUCAGACCUGGAUGGGGCCACCAUUCAUGGUUCAGAAUCGGAGCGACGAGCAAUUAACUUUCAAGACUGAACAAGCAGACUGCCCUUACUUGCUUGACCAUUAUUAUGUUUCAAGGCCCCUCCAUGAAGCAAGGAGUGGAGAUUCAUUGUGUUCGGUGGGGGCCAAUGGAGCUCCGCCAAGUGUUACUCCAUUUUGCGAGUCAAGUGGAAAAGAGAGAGAAAGGGACUUUCUUAAGGACCAGAGGGCAAAGAGUCAUUUUGACGCUUCUUGCUCCAGCACAGCUUUUGGGGAGCACUCACUUUGGGAAAAUAAGCCUGUCGAGGAUGGAAAGGCAGUGACAAGCCACUGGUGGGCAAGGCCGCGACCCCGAUCUGGUUCACGC